ACUCCUCUCCUCAACAAGCAGUACAAUUCUCCAAGAUCUCUCUUACAAGCUAAAAAGUAGAGUUAACAAGUUUGCAAUUUGAAUAGAAGUGAAGAGAAGCCUUGUAUUUAUAAAGGUUGGACAUCCUAAGUCAAGGAGGAAUCACAAGCCUAUUCCCAUUGGGAGUCCAACUCCAAGAAGAAGGGGUAUUUGUGGGAACAUAUAUUUCGAAGGCCAAUAAGAAGAAGAUACGUGAAAAAGGAAUAUUCCUUAGGUCAAACUAAUUACCCUAAUUAAUUUCUAUUUAAUUAGAGAAAUUAUCUUAAAUUUAAGAUAGGAAUAUCUCCAUAAAUCAAGGAACCAAUCUCCACCAAAUCUCUUAGAGCAAUUCUUAUCAUCUUUUUGGGGAAGAAUAAUCCUAACCAAAUAAGGAUUAUUGUCCUAAAACCCUAGCACACAAGGAGGCUAUAAAUACAUGGCUACACAAGGCAUUCAAGGUAAUUCUUCUCUAAUUCCCAAAUCAUACGAAAACCCUUCUCUCUCUCCUUGUCGUCGCCCCUCUCAUCUCUCCCUCUCUCACAUAGCUAAGUGCCACCACAUACGGCUAAGGCCACUCGGCUCUUCCCGUGAGAGAAAACUCCAUCCAUUUUAGCUAUUGCCGUAUCUUUUAUCAAAGAUCCAAUUGAACUAACUUAGACAUCGGAAGGCCUUUGGCCAACAACCCCUGGAUGUGGUCUAUUUACUCAUGUUUACUUCACAGGGAUCGAGAAAAAGAGAGAAGGAAGCUCAAAGGGAGAAAAAUCUACAUGCGAAUAUUCUCCCGUGAGAAAUUUACAGAAACACUUAGAAUCAUUCUACUAGUCAAACCACUGGUCGUAGUCCUUUUGAGGUUGUUUAUGGGAAAAAUCCUAUAAGCCCUCUGGAAUUAACUCCUCUUUCAAUCAAGAAUCAGUUCAAUGGUGAUGUAGAAGAAAGAGCUAAAAGCAUCAAAUGAUUGCGUGAACAGGUCUACAGGAAAAUCCUUCAACAAAAUGAAAAGUACAAGAAGAGUGCUAACAAGCAUCGGAAAGAUGCAAAAUUUAAGGAAGGUGCACCUUGAAAGUUUGGUAAACUCAAGCCUAAGGUUGAUGGUCCAUUCAAAGUAUUUAAGCGCAUAGGUAAUAAUUCUUAUGAGAUUGAGCUUCCAGAUCACUACAACGUUGCAAGUACUUUCAAUGUUUCAAACCUCUCUCCGUUUCAUUGCAAGUAAAACCAGCAUGACUCGACAUCAAGUCUUUUCCAAUCGAGGGAGUGUAUGCAAACAAACUCCUAAUAUCAUGCCCAAAGGAAUUCCAAAUACUUACAUCACUCACUCAAGCUGAAGGGGUUGCAAGACAUUAAAGCAGGUGUUAUUAUGACUGAAAAUUAAUUGCAUACAAAAUUUAUUUGAAGCCAAGCCUAUCUGGAACUCAUUGUUUUUUACGAAUCCCCAUUUAGAGUUUUCUAGAAGAAGUUAUGGUCAUUUAAGAGCACUUUCACCCAUUUUUCAUGGCAAAGGGUAAGGGCUGUUACUAUUCACGUGAAUAGUGGCAUCCCUUGCAAAAGGUUUGUUGUGUUUCCACCCAUUGUCAUGACAACCCAAAGAGAACCACUAUUCUCAUGAGAUAUGAGGAGAGGAAUUUGUAUAGAGUUUUGCUGUGGGAAUUGAAAAAUAUAGCUAGCUAUUUAUUUAUGAAAAAAAAUUGAAAUUUUUGGUUUUUCUAUUUUUAAAUUUUUUUCAUUUUUUUUAUUUAAAAAAUUUGGUUGUUGACGUCAUCGCUAACGUUAGCAGCCCCCCAGGCACGAGCUCGAGCUCAUUUUGCCUUUGGGUUUGCCCUGUUUGUUGAGACCCACCUUCUGCCCGAGCUGCUGAAGCCCGAUGGAACUGCGACUUGGAGCUUGGGCCGCCUUCUGCCCAGGCCAAACUAAAGCACUUGAAUUGUUCUAAAUGAAGGUAGUGCAUGUUGUCUGGAGUUAUGCGAGAAUCCAGAAGGAAUUAGUCUUGCAUUCGAAUAUUUCAUAUUUUCUAGGUAUCAUUUGUUUAGUCUAGGAGUCUUAUUAAUAUUUCCUAGUUAUCCUUGUCUUGGAAUGACAAAAGUCACCUAUCUUUGGAGAGUUGUUCCAAGGAGUUACUUCUUUUUAUACUCCCCAUUGUGUUCUGCUAGGACAUUGAGUAUUGAAAUGAAAAGUUAUGUUCUUUUGAACUAUUAUCCUUAAACUCUGUAUCUCUGUAUCUCCUUGGAGGAUUCCAUUGAGUGGUGAGUUCCCUUUACUCUAUGGCCUCGUUUGGUUCAUGAGAAAGGAGACUUGGGAAUGGGAAAUCAAUUACUUUCCUAUGUUUGAUAAGUCUAGGUAUGGGAAAUCGUUGCUUGGCUCAUGAGAAAAUAAAAGGGAAAGUGAAGGCAUCCUCCCAACUUUGGUUUUGUUUUCCCUCCUCAUGGGAAAGUUUGGGAAAAUGAGCUAACAUUAAAUACAUAUUUUUUAUGACCAUUUUAUCCCCAUUAACAAUUUAGAAUUACAAUAUAUCAUUAAAUGCAUUUUUUUAUUUGAUUUAAUAUGGAUAUAAUUAAAAAUUUACACAAACUUUGUUUUCCAUUCCUACUCAAAACAAACAUGGGAAAGAAAAUAAAGUGAUAUUUCCCGGUUACUUUCCCGGUUACUUUCCCAAUAUUAUCAAACGUGGGAAAUGAAUCUUCCAUUCUCAUUCUUUGGGGAAUGAUUUCCCCUCAAAUUCAUUCCAUGAACCAAACAGGGCCUAUAUCCCAAUAUAAACACUUUGGGUGGUGAUUUCUGUAUCCCUUAGGUGUAUGUUGGGUGGUGAGUGUUUCUUUGUGCUUUGAGCCUUUGGUCCCAAGCCAUUUAUCGACCAUAUCUGCACGAGGCCCAACGGACCAUUCCAUUUAAAGCCCAUUUAUUAUAUUAUAAUUGUUUCUAGAUAAUAAUAAUAAUAAUAAUAUUACUAUAUCUAUAUCUUAAAUUUAAGUAUAUUUCCUUUUUCUAAUAAUAGAUUUUAAAAAACAAUGUUUUCUUUAUAAAUAAAAUAAUUAUUUUGUUCUUCAAGUGGAAAUCUUUUAAGCUCGAACAAGAGUCGAGCAAUUUUCUAUCUACAUGUAAUUAAAAAAGAGUCAUUUGUUUCUUUUUCCGAAAAUAAGAAAUCUUAUUAAUAUAUACAUAAUAGUUAAAAAUAUUGAAAUGAAAUUGUCAAAAAAGAAAUUUACAAGACAUGAAAUACAUAAGUCAGGCUUGGUGUGGGCUCAUAUAAGCCCGACCCAUCCCUAUAUGAGUUAGGGCCGCAGACUCGAGCUGGACUUAAUGAUUUUCAUAAGAGUGACUUUGGAAAAAAUCCAAGGAGAGAAAUUUUUUAAAAGAAGCCAAAAUGGACAAAAUUGCCCUGAUUUGUUUUUGAAUUUCCUAAGAAAUCCUUUACAUUUGCAUAUCUUUAGUUUGAAAAUUGAGAGAUUUUUCUAUUCUUUUUUGAAAUUUUUUUCGCUUUUUCCAAAAGUGAAAGUUUUUUUAUGGCUAAAACCUAAAUUUACUUUUUCAUAAAUAGUUGAGUUUUGCCCCUAGUAAGGCCAACUUCAAACUGGCUUGACCCGACCCACUUGACAACUCUACUUGUGGGCAUAUCAUGAGUGUUAUGGAUGCUUGGACAUAAUUGGAAAAUUGUUUGCUACUUAUAUCGGACCAACCUUAUACUCCAGUCUUAGAUGAAGCCUGAAGGGCAAGGUAAGGUCCCUCAAACCAGGAAGGCAUCCUCUAUACAAUCUUUCUUACCAAUUCCCCUUCCCAUAAUUGGAGGAUCAACCCUCAGCCCCGAAAGCAGGCAAUAAGCUUGCUAUUUAUGAGAAUACCACGUAUAUGAUAUGAAAGCCAAUUUUAUGAAGCCUCUUACUUCGUGUAAGAAAGCCAAAUUCUAAAUCUAAGCAGCCAACAAAUUUAUUACAAGUACAACCUUGAAGCUUCGGCCAUUAGCAAGAUCAAGUUGGCUUGCUAGCCAGUGAAGGUGAACUCAAUAAAUUCCUCUCAUAGAGCUAGCUGUUAGCCUGCUACAGAGUUCACUUAGUAGAUGAGGGAAAACUUGAGCAAAUCAUAUAUCCUUGUCAAUUGUCAUUUAUCAACAUACAAAUCAGAAUUAGAACCUCAACAAAAAUAAACUGUCUAACAUCACGACUGAACUCAACAUGAAAUUUACCUCCCGUAGACAACAACCCAACUGAGGGAAUGUCAUAAAAAUUUUCUGAAAAACUAAAGAAUCUUUUCCGAACUGGUAUCGUACAGGUACCUAAAAUUCUUGUGGCUUACAACAUUCUCAUGCUUAUUCAUGUGCCUUGAUAAUGCCAUUAGACGAAAUAGUUUCUUUAGCCAACUGAAAGAUGUUUCGAGAAACAAGCUGCCCAUCUAUCUUACUAUGCCUUUACAACAGGAAUACUCUUCCAGAACUCAAGAAGGGGCCACAAUUAACCUAAUGACUCACUAAACUUAUUACUAAAAACCAAUUAGUAUAAUUUCAGAUUCGUUUCAGUAGAACCCCUUGAAAAUAAAUAAUGAAUGUAUAAGCCUGAAUUGCUCAUUAAUUAUUUCUUUUAUCUGUGAACAAGGCUGAGAAGAAAAGAGACAGAAGAAGAAAUCAUUAAGCAAAAUCUAUAAACAAGAACUAGGAGAAAAAUCAUUCAAAAAGUACAAUGAAGAGAAAGUAACAUCCCGAAAAACAGUAAUUCAUAUUCCAAAACAAAGCUUAAAGAGGGUUAAUGAAUGCAUCAAAAGCAUUGAAAACGAAAUAAUGGAGGCUUAAUUUUAAAUUUAUGAAAAAAAAAAAUAGGUUCUCCAAUUUUCCUGCUAUCCAAAUAUCUCUGACUUUGCAGGGUUGAACAUUCACAUGAAAGAUGAAAUAAUACUUUAGAAUGGGAUGAUAGCAGAACUAAGACUCCGAUCGUAUUCUUAAAAAAUAGACAUACACACUAAAUGUACAUAUUUUAUUUUAUAAAAUUUAAUACAUGGACCUGUUAAUAUACUAAAGACUUUGUGAAUCCCCAGACCUAAAUUUCUAUGCAGCCUUAAACCUCCAGGCAUGAAUAUAAAGAAAAUGAAAAAAAAACAAAAUAUAGGGGGAACAAAAGGGCUCUUUCCCAAAAUAUGUAUUUCAGGCAAGACGCUGCCGCUACAACUUGGUGUAAGAAAAAGAUAGAAAGAAACCUGCCAAGCAGUCAGCCAGCCUUUUGCUUAUUUAAGAUAAUAAGACCUCCUCAACUAGCUACAGGUAACUAAAAUAUUGAAAUAGCAAUCUCGUAUCAUAAUUUCAAAAAUAGCAAAUUAAGUAAACUUUCAAUAUAUUUGAAACAGUUUAACCAAACAAAAGAAUGUUUCCCAUAACAGAGAAUUAACACAAUUCCUCAAAAGGUCAUAAGCUAAGAGGAGUGAUCUUAACGUGAAAACUAAAAACCAUUACAUGGGGAUAGAAUAGAUUGAUGUAAGAAAAGAAAAAGAAACCAAAAAUAGAAAUGAUGGGAGGGAAUAAAGAUAAAACAAAGAUCCAAUAUCAAACUGAUAAUAACAAACAAAAAUCACAAUACAUUAAUAAGCAAAUAAUAUAUUAUAAAAAUGGGGAAAAGGGCAGGAAAUGGGGUGAAACACGAAAGAAUAGUCACUGAAAAAGAAAAAGAAACUGAACAUUAAGGUGAAACUGGAUGUUGUCAAUUCUUACAAAAUAAAGGAUGUCAAAGAUGUGAUGAAUUAAAACAUUAAAAAAAAAACAAAAAAGGAACGUCCACCAAGUUGCUAUCGAGCUUGGCCAAAUUUGAAGUAAUGGACCAUGAGAAAACUAAAAUACAAAGUCUUCCCAAAGAAAAACUUCCCGAAAAAGUGUUCAAUCCAAAGCAAGCUUUAAGAUAAAUAUUCCUUAGAGACGUGAUCAUCCUUCCUGAUGUUCAGCGACACUUACUCUGCAAACAUACAGCCCAAGAAUGUAAUGCCAAGAAACACAACAAUCUCCCUUUCAAAGAAAUUAUCAUCUCUAAAGCAUCAAAACAAUUAAAACUUUAAAUAUUUAAAAAAAAACUGAAAAAUUUGAGAAAAACAUUCAUGCUCAAAGAAGUUAAAACAUAUGUCCAAGUGAUCCCUGUUACAAAAAUUAUGAGCCAUGGCAUCAUGAUGGUAUAAAUACAAGGAUUCAGUGAACAUAAUAUUAGAUUCAAAUGGCAAAAGAAACUAAAGAGAAGGUACACAUUUAAUAUAGUAUAGUAUACCACCAAAAAGAAAAGUGGCUAGUUAAUGUUAGGGUAACCAACUGCACAAGUUUACAAAACAGAUUUCCUAAAUGAAGUUAAAGACAGUAAACACUUUAGCCCGUUUACCAAAAAAAAAAAGAAACAACCAGAAGAAAAUUGAAAAUUGAAAUGGAAAUUAUCCAGGAGUGAAUUAAAAACUUAAAAGACUUUCAAACAUUUUUAUUCAUAGAAUACAAAAUACUAAAGAUACCUUCGUUAGUUAUGAAUAUUAUAAAUAUGUGAAAAGAAAUAUUCAGAGAGAAAAUCAUUUGGGGAAAUUUGGGAAACGCUAUAAAAAAAUGUCAUGAGUCUGACCGAAUAACCCCAAACUUCUGUAUAAAUUCUGUAAUCAUUGCACUAAUAAGUAUCUGAUAUUUAAAAAACAUGUAAGAAAUUCUAAUAAAUCUGAUCAACAAAUAUUGUGCGUGCGUGCAUGUGUGUGUGCAUGAAAAGGUUGGAUUCUUAAAUACAAUGUUAUGUCAUCCUCUGAUGAAAGUACGAGGAUGAUUAUCUCAUUCAAUUUAAUGUAGGAAGAAGAGUCUUUAAGAAUCUUAAAAUCAUAUUUUACUAGAAUUAAAUUAAUCCACAAAUGAGCUCCACGUGUGAAUACACAAAUGCUUAGUUUCAUGUAAUCACAGAAGUUUACAACAAAACAGUACAUCUUAGACUGGUACAGUACUCAAAUGAAUAUAAUUUAGUCCAAAGGUUUGAUAAAAUUCAAACUCAUGAACCCAGCAGAAAAAAGUAAAAUAUAAUAAAAUAAUAGAAAUAAAGAAAGGUUCAUAAUCCAGCUGGAAGCCAGAAAAAAAAGAACCUGACACCACAUAAGUGGGAUAGGAAAUAACUAGCAACAGAAAACCAAACUUCCAAGAAAAGAACUAUCAUGGAAACUGGCGAAGAAGCAACAUGCAAAGCAGCAAGGCUUAUUGCAGAACAAAAACAGUAAACCCUUAGACUUCACAGACUUAACCGCGUGUAAAGAACAUAAACAAUAUGCCUCGGAGACUCAGAAGAAAAAUGACCUUUUGUUUACCAUAACAAACAGUUACAUCUAUUAGUUCUAGAGCCUCUUUUAUGGUAAUCUGUUCUUGGCUAACUCUCUCUAUGCUGAAAUUGAUUAAGCUCACCAAAAUCAUCUACUUUCACCCCAUAACAUAAAAUUUUAAGUACCUUAUCAGUUGGCUAUGUGCAUUCAGGUUUUGUAAAUAAAAAAUUGUUCUUCAGAGACUUAGAAGGAUGAGGCCUUUUUUCUGCAUACCAUAACAAACUGAAACAGUAAUGUCUGUUACCCAACCAUUCUAACCUGUUUUUGGCUUACUUCCUGUAUGCUGAAAUUAUUUAAGCUCACCAAAACUAUCUACUUUCAAUAGAUAACAUACAAAUUCUCAUCUUGAAAUUCACCUUUCAUAACAACCUAUGUAGAUUAUGAAACUCAUAAAAUCUCAGUGAGUUACAUGUAUACAGAAAAAUUGAUUCAGUUCCCACAAAGCAAACACCGGAUAUUUGAGAAAGAGUCAAAAUACAAGUACUUGUAACCAAAUUAGACAUUUUAAAUCCAUAUAAACCAUCGUGCACAAUUUUUUUUACCACUAAACUACCAAAAACUAAAACUGAAUAUGCAUAAAAAGCAAGAUGAAGAAACAUAUGCACGACACUAGGACAUGAGAAAUGUAAUUGCAAUACGGCAUACCACAUAUAUGAUGUAUACCCAGCGAAUGACCCACCAGCCCUCUGAGGCCUACCAGAACCCGGCUGCUGAACCUGCGUAUUUGGGUAAACGUGCUGCAGACCCUGGAGCAUAGGAAGAGACCCACUCGUCCCAUAUGCACCAAGCAAUGAGGGGUUACUCAACCCAUGAGAUCCUCCACCCAAACUGACCAACCCAUGAGACCCUCCACCUAAAUUGACCAACCCAUGAGACCCUCCACUGUACCCACCAACACCAGCACCCACCUGGCCCACUUGGCUUACCGGAAUAACACUUGGGUUCAAUGCCCCUCCCAUUAUACCCGGGUUCAAUGCUCGGGCCACCAUACCCGGGUUGGCAGACCCAGGAACAAACCCACCACCCACAUUGCCCAUUAAUCCACCGUACAAUGGGUUAAGGUUCGGAUGCUGACCGAACAAAGCCAUAUUCUGCGCUGCUGCUACAGCAGCCAGUGUCGGCUGCUGCAUUUGCCCUUGCGGGGGCGCCACAGCUGAGUUCUUGUUCUUCGAACCUUCGGCCGCCUUCUGGCAUUGCAAUUGGUGCCCUUCAAACACCUUGAAGGGUUCUUCAAGAGCCUUCUUCGCACCCUCCACAGUCUUGUACAGGAACAGAGCGAAACCCUUACAUUUUCCGGUCUGCGAAUCGAAACCCAUUGGCCCAGUUUCGAUUUCCCCAAAUUUAGCAAAAAAAAUUCUCAAUUUCUCACCAUCAACAUCAUGCGGCACGCUGCUCACGUAUAUUUUUCUCGAUGCCGAGUCCGAUUGAGCGUUAAAUGACGACGAAGAAGUCGUCGUGUUGUUGUUGGCCGGACCCACCGAGGCCAACUGACAGGAAGCGAUUCUAUUGCUGAUGUUCUUCUUAGGGUUCUUCAACGCCUUGGCGGCUCCACGGCGCGUUUUGAAGAGGACGAAGCCAUAGCCUUUUGCCUUGCCCGUGGCCUUGUCCAACACCAAAUUGCAUUCCUCGAUCUCGCCAAAGGGUUCGAAGGCAGCGACAAGGGUUUCGCGCGUGGUGUCCCAACCGAGGCCGUGGAUGAAGAUCUUUCGAUGCGAAACGUCGCCGUCUGCAGCAUCCCGAAUGCGGUUGAAGAGGGCCGAGUCCUUGGAGGCCGCUUCGACGAUGAGCUCGAUGAGCUGGUCCUUGGUGUAGGCUUGGAGUAGUUCAGGGAGGUUCUCUACGUCGGACUCGGACGAGUCUGAGUCUGAGUCCGAGACGGAACCGGAAUCGGAAUCGGAUUGGGGUUGUUUCUGGUUAGGGUUAGGGUGCUCUUCUUCUCUUUCUUCUUUUUCUUCGAAUUUUUGCUUGGGGUUUUGGGUUUUGGGUUUUUUCUCAAUGGUUUUGUCGGAUGUUUUGAUGAGCCUGCGCUUCUUCGUUUUUGUGAUCUUCGCCAUUGGAGCCACAGCCACCCACAGAGUCAGAGCAGGGAAGAGCAAAGCAGGGUUUUUUUUUGGGCUCGGAAGAAGACUGCGAACGACGUUACUGCUGUGUUGUGUGCGUUUUGAAAGGUACAAUGAAUCCCUCGGUUUUUAGAAUACAAAAGGCGUUUUGAAAGGUACAAUUAUCAGUCAAUAGGCUUCUCCAACCCAUGAGGGUUCCCCUCUAAAAAGUAACUAUUUGAGUUUGGUUCCGGAUUCAAAUUGUUUUUUCUCUCAACCUUCCGGAUUCAAAUUUUAAAUUCACAACUUUAUUAAAUUAUUUAAAAAUUAUUGAAGUCGAAUUUUUUUUUUAAACAUAACUUUUCUUCAUUCAAUUUUUUUAAAUAACUUCAUAAUUAAAUUUUUUGAACCAUUUCACCUAAAAAAAUUAAAAAUUCCACAAAUAUAAUUUGACCUAGAUUAAUUUAAAAUAUUAUUUUGACUAUUGGAUUUAAAUUUCAGCAGUUGGAUCUUUUUUUUAUCAUUAAAAUAGUUUAGAUUUAAUCUAGAUCAUUGAUUUAAGUUACAUUUAGAUUUUUUUUUUUUUACAAAAAAAAAAACCAAAUUCAUUUGUACAAGCAGACAAACAGCAACUUGACAAGUGGCUGGACAAGCAGCCAAACAGCAACAGUCCAGCAGGUUAGCUGGGGCCCACGUCAGAUGUUGUGCACAUGGGGCUGUUUAAGGUGCAGUGGGCUCCAUUGAAUAGUGUUGGGUCCAAGCAAUACUUGGACCUAGGUCCAAAUUUGGGUUUUUUUAAAUUUUGGAUCCUUCAUUUUCUUGGAUUGAGAGAGGUUUUGGGCAAUAUUUUGGGCUUAGGUCCUUGGGUUAGAGAUGGCCUUAUGGUUCGUCUUUUUGGGUUUGAGCCAGGCUCAGCCUGAUUCACAGGAUUUAGAGCUAGUUUAGCAUUGUUGUGCUAUUAAAAUAAUCAUUGUCAGAUUUGCUAUGAGAAAAAUCAGCUAUGAGAAAAGUAGUUUAGCGUUUGGUAAACUUUUUAUUAUAAGUGUUGUUUGUACAAUAAUCAGUUGUUGAGUAUUUGGUAAAUUUUUUGUGUAAAAGUGAUGUUAGCUGUGUAUAAUGACUAAAAAUGUCAUUAUGUUGAAAAGACUUUUCUGUUUAAGUGUUUGGUAAAAGGAAAAGCACUUUUACUUUAUCUUAUAUAUAUUUUUUGUAUUAAAUAUGUUUCCAUCACACUCUAAAAUGUAUUUUAAUUAUAAAAUAAAUAAAAUAUUUCAUUAAAAAUAAAUAUAUUGUCAAUAAUAUGGUCAUAACAAAAAUUAAGUUAGUCAUAAACAAACAAUCAUAUACAUUUUAAAGUAGAUAAACUCAUUAAACUUGCGGCUAUAUGAUUUCUCAAUGCCUCUAUUUCUUGUGUUACAAGACCAUCUUAUUGUUGUGCAUCAACCUAUGUCUCAAUCUCAUCACCUUGAAUACUAUUUAGGUCGUCUUCACUUUCAUCAAAAUGACAAUCACAUUUGGCAUGUCUUUUUAUAUAGUUAUGAAGUGUCAUGGUUGCAAUAACUAUUUUUACUUGUUUUGCAAAAGGAUAACUAGGCAUGUCUCCUAAAAUACUCCAUCUCUUUUUCCAUUCUCCAAAAGUGUGUUCAAUAACACUUUUAAGGGAAGAGUGUGCAUAAUUGAAUACCUCUUUAUGACCCAUCGGUUGAACACCCCUGUGAAAAUCAGGAAGAUGAUAUCUUUUGCCUUUAUAUGGUCCUUAGUAGCCUCUCAUUUGUGGGUAUCCCGUAUCUACUAGAUAAUAUUUUCCUAAAAAGAAAAUUUAAUUCAUUAUUCACAAUGUAAAAAACAUAAAUAUAAAUUAUGUGAAUUUAAAAAAAAUAGAAAUAGUACCAUUUGGAGGUUUUGGAAAAUUCAAACUUUCAUCACAUAAAGCUGAUAGAAUUAUCCUUGUGCCAUGGAUUGUGUCUUCUUGUAACACCUCGUCCCAAAAAUCACUGUACAAUUGAUUAUUUAUUGUGAAUUUAUAUUUUUGCCCUUGGAUGUAGGACACUUUAGCCACUUUUUGUUCGAGAAUGAAUUUGGGGAAUUGAGUGACACCGUUGCUUAGAGCUCGCCGAUACAAGUUCAUAGAUAGGCGGCAGGUUCAAUUCAGAGUUAAAACAAAGAAGUUAUGAUAUACAGAAGUGUAGUGGCACAACCGUAAUUUUUACGAAGUCAGAUUUUAAAAAGCUGGACAGCUUCUCUCUCACUCUUUGUCCUUCGUGAAAACAGACUGGCCACUUUGGCCGGUGUUUUCUCCUUCGUCCGGCGACGCCACAACUCACAAAACGUUCGUCUCUUCCUCCUCUUCACGUCCAUAUCCAUUUUUACCUUCGAAACUCCAAGAUUGGUCGCGAUUUUGGACUGGAACCGAGCGAAAUUCUCGUUCGUCACUCGACGAAGUUAUGCUAUUUCAGGUGAUUUCGACUGCCAAAUUCAUCGAGUGAGGUAUGAAAAUCCAUCCCUUCAUCAUGUUCUGCCUGUUUAUGUAAUUAGAUUGGAUCGAUUUUGAGGUUUUACAUAUCGAUUCUUAAACCUAUUUUUUGGCCAAUGGUUUCGACUUUGUUCCGGCUAGUUCCGGUCAAUUUUGGCGAUGGUUUAAGAACCAAAAAUGUUCCCCUAGGUGUACUUGAUCUAUUGGUAUUGGCAUUGUAUGGUGUUUUGACAAAUUUACGUCGCUGAAAAUUUCUCAAGACACCCACGAGCUGCCAGCGGUGGGUGGCAGCGGGUGGGCUACUGUGUGUGUGGCUUAUUGUGUUCUAAAUUGUUCCCUUUUGUCCUGAGUACGAUGGUAUACUCGAAUUUGAAAUUGGUUAUCAUUUGACAGUCGAACGGAUAUUGCACCUAUUAUGCAAUAUCCGGGUUCGAUAGGUUCGAACCGUUCAAUUGGUCCCAAUUUCAAAUAUGUUGUUCUCUGUACCUCUAGAAUCGUGUAGGAACUUGUUGAUCGAGAUUCAGAAUCCCAGAUACUCCUAGUCUAUGAUUCCAAGGUUAGGCGAACUAAUCAUUGUCCGAUUGGCUUAGAUUCGAUUGCUCGAUCGAGAUCAAAGUUUCGAGACUUGUUUAGUAGACUUGAUUGGACCUAUAGGAACUUUCAUAUCAGAAAUCAGAGGUCGUGGACCCCACAGGCCUAAUUGACCUAGAUGGUAGGCCUCGUUAGCCCAAUUGAGAGCUUUUCGUUAUGAGGUGUUUGUGGUCUAUUUGUUUGAGUUUAAAUUGGUAUUUUGCUAUGAGAGUUGUAUUAACUGUUUAUGAAUUAUUGUUCUAUACUGUUUAUGAAUUAUUGUUCUAUCGCUUUUAUUUUCCAAGCAUGUUAUACCUAUGUUUAUUUUUAUACAUGUGUUAAAUGGAUUAAUAAUUGGAUUGUGUUGCCUUUGGAAAUAUUAAUGUCUACGGACAUCUUGGUUGCCUUCGAAAAUGUUGUUGCCUCUGGAAAUAUUGAUGUCUUCGGACAUACAGUUGUCUUCUGAUAUAUGGUUGACUUCGGAAUAUUUUCGGACGUAUGGUUGCCUUCGGAUUGUCUUCAGACACCUUAGUAGCUUUCGGAUUUGUCUACAUGCAUAUGACAUUGCCCCACGAGUAUUGGAGACGCCCGAACAGUGUGGUGCCAUGUUACGCCCCGAUUUAAGAAUAGCGAUUAUCUCCGAAUUAAGGCUUGAAUCAUACCACAAUUAUAGAAACAAACUCCUAUAACUAUGAUAUGAUAAAAAUAGAGUCAAUAAUAUUACAAACUUAUUUAAUAAAAACAAAGUCAUAGUCGCAGUAACUCAUAGUUAGUUACACACACUAGCGUAAUAUUCCAACUAUUUAUUACAAACAGUAACUAACAACACUGAUCUAGUCCUCUAGUGGAACUUCUCAUUCCUCAGGAUUUGCAUUGGAACCUGCAUCAUCUAUUAGGGUGUGAGCAUUUUAAUGCCCAAUAAGGUACUGUAACAUCCUCCCUCAAAGCUAGCUAUCACUGCUAAUCAAAGUGGCAUGCAUUAAACAAUUACCUAAUAAAUGUGUUAUGCAUAUGCGAUGAUUUCAUGAACUCACUCCAUUCUAAACCCACUAAUUCAUACUUUAGGGCAUCAAACAUGCAUGUCCCAUACCAUGCAUUUUACCACUGUGGCUCCGAAUACCCUAAAAUAUAAAUUAGUACCCCUCUGUCCCUUACCCCAUAUAUAUUUUGUUUACGAAUUUCUCAACUUUCACUUUUCACUAGAGGCCCUACUUCCAUCACCUCAAUAUAUUCAAGCCCUACUCCUGUCAUUUGAAUAUAUUCCACAUUUUUUUAUACUCAGAUAUAUCUGAAGCCUUCUCCCACCCCUUAGAUAUACCUUAAACAACACACAAACCCAACACAACUGUAUUUAUGAUCCAUAUGUAAUGCAACUCAAACAUUCAUUAAUCUUUGCGGAAUGAUAAUAAUUCAAAUAAAAAUAAUAAUAUUUCAAAUUUAAUCACAUGGAUAGUAAUAUUCAUCCAACAUCAUAUAAUAUUCAAUAAACAUUCAUAAAACAAUAACAAUAGUAUUCACCUAACAAUACCCACCAAGCAAAACAACAAAAUAUUCAUAUUUAGUACUAUAUAUAAACAUCACGAUUAAAAGUGAUAUAGUCUAAUCAUUGGGGAAAAAGUUAGAGACCCUACCUCGUGUCCAAGAAGCUAAAAUGACAAAAUUACCCUUUGGAGGUUGCCAAGUUCUCUCCCGUUCCUAGAUUUGAAAAAAGAAAUAACAUAAAUGAGGUUAGAAUUUUUAAUUUUAUAAAAACACUUUUUCUCUUGACAUAGAGAGAGUGCACCCCACUCUCCAAGCUAAAACCCUCGAAAUGACCUGAAACCUAUACCAUCAUACUCGGAUUAAAAAAUCAAGCCGGAUUGACUAAAUAUAUGGUGUCGGAGGCUGUCGAAACAGCCGCCACUCGCUGAGUCGAGAGUGGGGUUGGCUUGCGGUUAUUGUUCAUCCUCUCCAGAAAUUCUGCAAAUUUUCCCUUUUUUUUAAGACCAAAAUCUAGAUUCUGUGAGACAUUUUUACUAACCAAAUGUUAACUAAAUUGGGAAAACUUACAAUGGUUUUGAAGCUUAAUACCUCUAGUUUCUAACACAAUAAACCACACUAAAAACGGAGCUAAAGCGAAGGAGAAAACCAGCUCCAAAGUUGGACUUGUGGCUGGUUUUCUACAGAUAACAUAUUUUUGUCCAAAUUUUGUGUUAGAUAAAAAAUGUAAUGAAGAAAUUAAAAUUCACCCAACAUAAUCUCACUCUUAUUUACAAAUAAGAGUUUUUAUUUUUAAUUGAGUAUGACCCAUUCAAGAUAAAAAUAUCUCUUAAUUAUAAUCUCUUUGGAAAGAGAAAACCCUUUGAUUCCAAUGUAAAGAGUGAAAUAAAUAAUGGAAUUUGAUGUUACGGCUGCAUCCAGGGAACUCUAGACUGCCUACAUAUACCCCAUUUUGGGGAUCAAGCCUUUUGUAGUUCUCGAGAGAAUUUGAUUGGACUUUCAAGGAAUGAAUGACUCCUUGAAAGAAUUUGUGGUAUGAGAAAUAUUUUAUGGAAUUUGGAUGAAUGUGGUUGGACCAGGGAUUCAAUUUGAUUUGUGGAUGAAAAAGUGUUUGGGCGAAUUUGGUUAAGGUGCACCAGAGAUUCUGUUUGGGCUUGAGGUUGUAUUUGGAUUGAAUUUUCAAAUUGCCUACGUAUCCUUAGUGGAAUCAAACCGGACGUAGUUCUUUGAAAAUUUGAUUGGACUUUCAAAGACUGAAUGACCCCUUGAAAGAAUUUUAUGUUUGAGAGAUUUGAAUUUGAUCUCAUCGAAAUUUGCAUGGUAGAUGACCCAUGAGAAAAUUUGGAAUGGUUUUGUACCAUUUUUUAUUGUUAAUGUCCAAAGAAAAUUAAAAGGCAUUUUAAUGAACCCAUUAAUUUACUCACAUAUGGUUUUAAAAAUUUAAGAAAAUUGAUCCAUUAACCACAUAAUUUAUUUGGACCACCCAUCAAGUAUUUUGGCUUUUGAGAGUUAAUGGGUAAUUUGUUUUGUCAACCCAUCAAUUUGUUUUCGGACCUUAACAUUUCCAUUAAUUGGCCCAUAAUAAAAAAAGUCCAGGUCAGAAAAGCUUUGAGAGCCAGCUGCAUUUGAAACCGAUAUCUAUUUGGAGUAGUAGAGAUCAAUCUAAACUGAGUCACUCCCAUCUUUAUAUGUAGUAGUUCAAAUCAAUUUAAACUGGACCAAAUUAUAUAUCUCUUCGACUACUCAUCUGCCACAAUCAAUACGGAGCCUUCGGUUUGAGACGCCAAAACCAAGGCAAGACCUUUCCUUUGCUCAUGUCUGUCAAACUUGGGCUACAUAAACCAUUAAAAUAUUAAUUGGAAGUAUUGGGAACUUAAAGGCAGACUUAGACUGCAUAACCCAUUACAAUAUUAAUUGGAAGUAUGGGAGCUUAACGGCAACAAUGUCUGUUUAUUAAAGUACAUAGGUACUUUUCCUUUUCUUUGUCCUUUUUUUUUGCUUUUUCUUCUUUGUUUUAUUUUUUUUUUGUUUCUUUCAGUAAUACGAAACUCCCUUUUUUUGUUGCUUUCUUCUUCAAUCUUGGGCAUGGGAGGAGAGCUUACUUUGAGCAAUGAGUUUCUUGAUUUUUUUUGGUCUAAAGACCAAAUUUUGGUUUGAAGAAAAGUUGCUGGCAGCAAGCUGUGCAUCCAUUUAGCUUUGGCAAGUCUUUCUUCUUCUCUCUUUGGUUUGUGUCUGUGUUUGUUGCCUUUGAACACCUGCAUGAUUUUCAUCAAGUAUGCCUAUGAACACCUUCAAGGUGCUCAUAGCACUUAAUACAAUGGGGUUCUGGCAGAAGCCCAUAUGCAUAUUUUCACAAUAGGGAGGUCCUUGCGAGGGCUCCUUCUUGUGUGAUUUCUUGAGAUUUCUCUAAUAGUAGAGACAUGGUUUCUUCAGUUAUUUUUCAAGAAUGAUGAAUUUCUUUUGCCUGCAGUAGUCUCAUGAGACUUCUUUGACAGCAGAGACAUGGACGAAUUUCGCAGCGCACAUUCUCAAAGCCUUUAUGGCAAACAGCAUUGGAAGGGGACUUUGAACUUUGAUAGGAAAUCUGUCAUCAAUUUGGUGCCCUAUGACUGUUAUUUUAAAGGUCGACUUCUGUGGGAUGCUCAGGAAACGUCAUUUACAGAGGCUUGUUUAAUUAAACUUUACAUAAGAUGUUUGAGUUUUGAGCAGCAAGGGAAUAUACUGCACAGAGAAACAUGAUGAAAUUUCCUGGCAAAAGAAAUAAACUUUAUACCUUCCCUUUCUUCUACCCUUUUCUUUGUCUUCCUCCUUAAUCAGAAUCCCAGCAGCCUCUUCGUUUUCUCUCUGGUCUUCUGCCUUCUUUCCUCCAGCAGCUUUUACUUUUGUCUCCUUUAGACUUCUCACCCCUGCUUUCUUUACUUUUUUGCCUCUGUUUCUGCCUCCCCUUUUUUCUUUGGUUCAUGUCUUUUUAUAGGCAAAUAGGUGAGUGGCAGUUGAGGGAGACUGUUUCUUCUCAGAUUGUGCCAUCGUUUUGAUAAGUGGAGUGGUGGGAGAUAAACUGCUCCAUGCACGAUCUCACCUUGACAUUCUAUUUUAUUUCUUUUAAUUUCUUUUGAGAGUGGGGCUGUAAUGGGAAUUUUUUCUUAGAGAUAAAUAUAUGGGAUUUUAUCUCUAGGCACGUCAUUUUGUUGUUGAGUUCUUCAUUUUGGGCCUCGCUUGAUUUAGAAUUGAUUUGUUAUAGCCCAAAUGCCUAUCCAAAUUAAUCUGAUAGGUAUGAAAUUUUUUAUUUCAACAUUUUGCACUAGUGUUUGACGUAUCAAACUUCAACAAAAUUCAAUGAAACCAAUUGUAUUUUGUUCCUUGCCAUGUCUAGUUUAAAUUCCAAUAAAUGACUUUCUCAAGUAAUCAAAGUAUUGGGAGAAAAAAAGAGCCAAAAUGAGGCUCGUGGGCUGAAAAUUUCUAGAAAAUUACAUUUUUCAGAUUUUGUUCUAAGUUGUUUUCAACCAUUCUAUCACCCCCAGGUUGUUCCUAAGGCUUCGUAAAACUCAAAAUGAAACCAAAAUCAUCAACACCCACAAUUGAAAAAUUGCUCUAUCCACCCAACUGAAAAUGGAAGUUCAAACUCUUCCAAUUCAAUUUCCCCAACACUCAAGUGACUCAAAUUACUCUUUAAGGGACUAAAAUCAUACAACCACAAAGUUAAAAACAAAAAAUUCGAAAUUGACUCACCUUAGAGUUUUUUUUCUUCUCUUUCUCCUAUUCUACCUUCUCUUCCUCACCCAAAUUCCAUCUCCUUCAUCCUACAAUCUUAUCUUAGUUCAAGCAAUUAUUACCCUUAGCCUAGACUAGGUGAUUCAUCUAUAAUAGGUGAACAACUCACCCUAAUUUGAGAUCAAUAUCAGAUUUUGAAGGGAAUGUAUAAGGGAAAAGGGGAAGAAUGAAGGGAAGAACAUGGUUUUGCUUACACGUUGCAAUUUUUUUUUUUAAACAUUUAAAAUCUCAUAAUUAAGGUUAAAUAAAUAAAUAAAUAUAUAUAUUUUAAAAUAAAUUUAAUAUAUAAAUUUUUUCCUAGAUGUUACAUGUCAGGAUUUGCGUUCUCAGGUUGAGUAUAUCUCCCUGAAUUAUGCGAGGGGAAUUGAUGGAUUAUUUGCGUUUCAUGUUAAGUAUAUCUCCCUACGAGGAUUUCGUUAUCAAGUUGAGUAUAUCUCCCUGAGUUUUGUGAGGAAUGCGUCACAGGCCGACCAUGUGUUCCUUAAGUUAUGAGAGGAUUGCGUCUCGGGCUGACUUUGUGUCCCUCAAGUUAUGCGAGGAUAUAUCACACAUGUGUGGUACUUGGAAUUGACGGUAUAUUAUUGAAAUUGAUGGAUUAUAUUUGAGGUACAUCUAUGUGGAGAAUACUGUAGCACCAAUGUGUGGUAUAGUUAACAAGAUAUUCUUCACCACCCUACUCAUAUUAUCUGCACAGGGUUGGCCAGGAUUCCUAUCCACCUGCCUAAUUUGUCUACACAGGUAGUUAGCUUGUUUCCCCUUCUCAUGUUGCCUUCGGAUUUGAUGGUAUUCCCAUAUACUCCUUGGUGGGUGAUUACAGUAUAUAUACACUAUGCGGAUGGUUGCAAUUAUGGCUUUCUGGUAAAAGGUUUGGUUAUGUAAGUAUUUGAAUGUACAAUGAUAAGCUAAUUGAAUAGUUAGGUACAUAAUUUCCAGGCAUGAUAUUCAAUUAUACAACUUGUUGAAAUAAAAGUAAAGAAUGAUUCUAGAUUUUAUUGUUGGUUUCUUGAACAAUAUUAUAUUAGCUGAAUUGUGAUUCAUGGUAGAAAGAACUACGUUUGGCUUGAUCCCUCAGUAAGGGUAUGUAGGCAACCUAGGCUAUAGAAGCAGCCACAAGUUUAUGAUUUGUUUGUUAUGUUCAGUUUUGUAACGUUGAUUUUGCUUACUUUAUUAUGUUGGAAAACGGGGGCCUAAAGCCCAUUAAAACUUUUGCUAAUUGAUGUGUGGUUUAUACCUUGUGCUUGCUGAACGCUUAGGAAAUAAUUGUGUUUGUUGUGCAAGUAGAUUUUUGGGUUUUGAGCCUUUUUCAGAGGAGACUCUGCCAGUUUUUAGGAUGGUCACUCGUGCCUGACACUUGCCAGGUGUUGGACACGCACUAAAGUGGAAUUUGGGUCGGGUCUUGUGACUUCCCAUCCGGCGCAUGUAAAUAUAAAUUGCAUGUAACCAUCACAUUUUGGGUAGGUAUCCCCUUUCUACCAAUAAAUGGUAUUUGAUUAUAAGGAGAUAUUGUGGCUUGAAUAUGAACAUCAUCUAUAGAACCAAUACAAUCCUACAAGUGAUAAAAAAGACAAACAUAAUAUUAAUUAUAACAAAAUAAAAUAUAGACAAAUAUUUAAGAGUAGUAGAUGCAAUAGUAUAGAAUCUUGUAGAAUUUCUUUUGGAGUGUUGUUAAACGCAUUUUCUAAUGGUUUAAUUACAUCCGCAAUUAAACGACAUACAACAUCAAGUAGGAUACUAAAAUAUAUGCUCACAGUCUCACUAGAAUGUUGAAAACAAUCUUAUGCUUGCCUAUUUGCACAACCAUGUCCUAAGAUGUUCAAGAACAUCCCUAACAUCUCUGCAUCACUCAUUCUUCUUGAACCUUUUAACCCAUAAUUGUUUUGCAAUUCAUCACACAAUUUUAUAAAUACAUCUUUUUCCAUCCUAAACAUAUUAUAGCAACGACUUUCAAUUCCUUGUAACACUUCUGUCAACCAAAUAUUUCUUGUAUGAUGGUCAUUCAUACACGGGGUCUUAUGAAUAUAUUUCACAUAAUAAAGUUCAAUAAAACGGACAGUGACGCAUAUAAUUUAGUUGAUCUCCUCCUCAUCUUCUGGAAUAGACAUGUUCUAAAAUAACAUGCAAAUGUGUUUAUUUCCUUCAAAUAUCAUUUUCACUGUGCAUGCAUGUUUAUAUAACAUAAAAUAUGACAAUAAUUAACAUAUCACUCACAAAUUCAAAUAAAUUAACAACACAACAGCAAAACAUAAAUUAAAGUCACCAAACUAUCAAAUUCUAGCAUUCAGCUAACUCAUGAUUAAGAAAUUGAAGCUUGAGGUCAGGAUCUUCCAUGACAACAAACAUCUCUAUCUUAUCUUGAGCACAAAACAACUUAGUUGCAAACCACCACAACUUGCUACCACACUCUGUCCCAGGUAAAGUUGCAACAUCAUUCAUCACUUCAGCAAUACUAGUUCCUUGUGAAACUGUAUUAGCCAUUGAUGUUCCAGUACUCAUACUCUUAACCACCUUAACAAGACGUUCAAUUGCAAUGAUAAUUUUGCAACACCUCUCAUUUUCUCCCAUAAUUUACCUUUCUUCUAAUUAUUAUCUUGAAUUUCAAGUGAUUGAUUAGUUCUCUUUCUUGGCACAUUGUUUGUAGUUUGAGUGGUUUCAAUUGGUAAUUCGAAUCAUCGUUAACUUCAAGUGGAUUGACAUAAUCAUCACUUUAAAUUAGAAGUACACCAAAUAAAGGUGCCCAAGAAUGCUUACCAGUGGUUGUGACGUUCAAAAACAUCAUAUCUAACUUCUCCUCCAUCUCAGGACUAAUACCCUCAAGUUGGAAUAUUGCAUAUUUGGAUUAUGCUUGCAUUAUGACACAUACAAAUAUUAUAAUGAAUUUUUAAACAUAGUUAUAAAAAAAAAAAAAGGAUUAAUUUUUCUCCCCCAUUACCACCACUUGCACCACCUCUCCCUUGCAACCUCCACCUCCACCCUCCCCACAACCCCGACUUCCACCAAGCCACCUCUCCCAUCACCGCAACUCUCCCUCGCAUCCCCCACCCUCCCUACACCAAGCCACCCCUCCCUCCACCACAACUCUCUCUCUCUCUCUCUCUCUCUCUCUCUCUCUCUCUCUCGCUCUCUCUCUCUCUCUCUCUCUCCAGCACCCACAAUUUCGAGCCCACCAUUAUUCCCUAACCCAAAAAAUCAGAAAAACAAAGGCACACUUUUAAUUCCAAUUCCAAUCCGAUCAAACCCCAAAACUCACCCAAAAGAAAAAAAAUUGUAUUUUCAGGAGCUGAGACUUUAGAAAAAAUGUCGGAGAUGGCAAAGAAAGUCCCUUCUCACCCACCCGCUCCCACAUCCCCACGCUCCCUUCUCUGCCGCCCUCAAUCCCUUCUCACGUGUCGACUUCGCCGCCAAUAUCUGGAUCUGCCCUUUCAGCAACUAUCGCAAUUACUUCCUGCGUGUCGACAUUACCGUGAUCAUUCUAUACAUCAAAAAAUGAAAUUUGUCAGUAACAAGAAGCUCCAUUUAGAACUGAAGAACAACCAAACUUACUAUUAAUGAAGUAGGUACUACUAAUAUUCAUUCUUGAGCAAAUGUAAUAAAAAAAAUAUAAAAAAUAUAAAUAAAAAAAAAGGAGUGAGAAAGGCAUAGAUUAAAUAACAACAUUUUUAAUUAGCAGAAUGCUGAAAAUAUAACAUGUGCAUAAAUACAAUUUUGUCAAAUGGAAGGAAAAGCGCAGUACUAGCUUGCAUGGUGGAAAAAAAAAUAUUUUAAAAUAGAAACAAAAGAAGAAAAUGAUAAUUUAUUCAUAACCCAUCUACACUUCCAAUAUGAAUGAACAUCCAUGGAAACUUUAGAAGCUAUUCACCUUUGGCACAAUCCUAUUAACAGCGUCAGGUUGAUCCAAGGGUUCAAGUUGCCACUUGCCAUAAAGUUCGAUAGUUCAUUUUGAAUUGCCCCCAACAUUAUUAUCAGAUUUAGGGUCCUGUACUUUGUGGGUUCUACCCUCAGUACAUAACCCUCCAGUAUGUCGUGUCGGUCGAUUCAGCUACCCCUCAAUCUUUGCCAUCGUCGAUCUUCGUCUUCGUGCUCAACACAUGUAUGAUCGAGGAGAAGAGAGUAAUUUUGGGUGUUGGAGGUGAGAGAGAGAGAGAGAAGAAGAAGAAGAAGAAAUCUCGGGGGGAGGAGGGUGGGGGGAGAGAAAUAAGGAGGAAUGAAGGGGGUUGCGGGCUGGGAUGGAGGGUGGUUGUGGGAUGGGUUUGGGGGUUGGAGCUUGCGGGUGGUGGUCAUGGGUGAAUAGAGGGAGAAGAAAUCAACGGGGAAGAGGGAGAGCAUAGAGAGGAGAGUUUUAUUUUUUUAUUCAUAUUUUAAUCAAUUUAAAAUUUAAAAAAUAAAUAAUGUGGGACCCAUAAUGUCAUGUAGGCAAUUAACGGAGAGAUCUGACGGGAACCCUAACGACAGAACCACAUUGUAACAAAUUUAAAAGACCAAGGUAUGUGAUUGUUAAAAUUGAAAAGACAAGGACUAACAUGCCUUAAGGGUAUAACCAUAGGGUACUAAACUAUAAUUAACUCUAAAAAAAAAAAAUGGAUAUCAAUACUAUAUUAAAACAAGAACAAAAAAUUCAAAUAUCUGAAUUUUAUCUUACCACCAUUCCUCAGAUGCAUCAAUAGUAUUCUUAGCGACAUUCUACCCAAGACCAGUUUCCUUCCUUUUUAUAUCUUUCCAUAAUUUCCAUUCUUUUUUUUAAAAACAUAGUAAAUCUCACUUGUUUUUCAAUUGUAAUUUUUCAUAUGAUCUUCCUAUCUCUUUGCUAAUAUUUGUAACCAACCUUGCCUAUCCAACUUUAUUAAAGUGAGUACUGAGACGAUUGCAUAGAUCCACCUCUAUGAUACAAAGGUCAAUGAAGAUAGCUAUAGUUUGAGAAUUCCACAAUGCUGACAAUUUUUGGGAUCUACUUGCAAUGUUUUUAGUUGUGAUGAAGUUACUAUUCUUUUUUGCCAUCUUAGUGCAACAAAGACAUUAUAUAUAAGCACAAAAUAAAAUAAUAGAUUUACAAGCGAAUUACAAUUCCUUAUAUGAGUUACAAUUGUUAGAGUUUUUAUAGGAAAAAUACACUUGCAUUUAGUCCCACAUUGGAAGGGAGUUGUUUCCUUCCAUGGUGUAUAAGCACCAACACUUUAGGGGCUCGUUUGGUACGUCGGACUGUACUGACUAAUUUUUGUCGGAUAGUAUUAAUUUGUUCCGGAGAGUACUGACUAUUUAUCCAUAAUAUUAUAAGGCGUUUGGUGCUGUUCCGGAUAAAUAGUCAGAGUAAGUUAUACUGUGUUUGGUGAUGUUCCGGAUAACAUCAGAUCAGACUAUUUUUAAAAUAAAAAAAAAUUUCUUUGAUAAUUUUAAUGAAAAUUGAGAUUCAAAUGACACAAAUUUUUUUUGGUAAGAUUCAUAUGACAAGAUUUGUUUUUCAAUUGUUUUUGCCAAUAUUUUUUUUCUUCAUAUAACCCAUUUAUCAUAAUUGUAGUAUCUCAUAAAAAUUCCAACAUAUUCGCAUACGUUAAUAAAAACAGUACCAAAUAAUGUAUAAUUCAAAGUGAUCACAUACUAAGGUGAUAAGAGUAAAAGGGAAAGUUGUUCAUAAACCAAACUACAUCAAAGAGUGAAUCACAGCACCCUCGUCCCAAGUAAGAGAAGAACAAAUGCUUUUCUCAUAGCACCAUCCAAUGUCAAGAAUGUUCUCUCAUCACUUGCUUUCUCCAAAAUUAGCCGUAGUGCCUUAAUUUGGUCAUUAAUAGACAAGUCCAUCUUUGCCAAUUCAGCAGCAAUGUCAGGUCUUGGUUCUGAUCCUUUCACCAAACUAUUAGUUAUAGUUUUCAAUUGGUCAAUAUACUCAGAAAUCAUCUCACCAAAUGCUUUAGCCAUUUCCUUUCGAAUAUCAAUAUCUGCUACUCAUUGUACGAUUCUUCACAUGAUGUGCUAGUGUAUGUAAAAACAUACACACUUGCUCUUCUAUGAUUACUAAACCAUUUGUUCUCACUCUCGCAUCAUCACAGACCAAUUGACAUAAAUAAUGGAAAGUUCUCCUAUCCAUCCUAAUUUGAUUCACACAUUGUAUGUCAUUAAUUCCUAUAAUAUUAUCUAAAUAAUUUGACCGAGUUGCAAUCCCGAAAAACCUUUGACUCCUACUGGCAUUCCGUUGUUGGCGUCGUUGUUCCAAAUUGUAGUUUGUCAUGAAUCACAUCAUGCACCAAACCAUGAUAUGCAAGAACCACAAUCUAAUAAUAAAGUAUACCACAAUCUUUCUUUCAUCCAUAUCUAGGCAUAAUCUAAAGGAAAUUUUUUCAGUAAAAGUAAUAUAAAUAACCAUGCAUUAAUUUUAGCAAUAUAAAUAAUCAUGUACAACAAGAAGGAGAAAGUAGCAGCAGAACAGAAGCAUUGCAAUCAAAAGAGCCAAGGCCACAAGCUUGGGAAUCGUAAAAAAAUGGAUAUCAACAUUGCAAUGUUGGUUUUUAUAAAGAGAGCCUCCUCUUACUUUUUUUUUUUCGAUUUAGCUUUCAUUUAUGUAAGUAAGCAUAACCUAAUUUCAAAAACGAAAAAUACAUAACCUAAUUCCACAAAAAUUUAAUAAAAAAAUUGAAAUAUAUACAGAAUAGAGAAGAAGCAAGAAGAAGCAUAUUGGAGAGAGAGAGAGAGAGAGAGAGAGAGAGAGAGAGAGAGUGAGUGAGAAUGAGAGAUGGAUAUCUGGAGAAGAGUGAAGAAAAUAACCUUUGGAGAAGAUAGCAGAGAAAAACCUUAGAGAGAAGAAGAUGAAAAGAGCGUUUAAUUUUUUUUCGUAGAAUGCGUGCUUAGCUGUAUAAUUAAGCGUGUAUUAUCUAAACCGGAGUGUGUGGAUUGUAUUAGUUAGUCAGGUAAGGAGAGUAUUAAAAGCCCAACCCGUAUAAAAUAGUCAGGUAAUUAAAUAAUACAAGUUGACACCAAACACUUGACAUAGACUAUUUACUCCUAUCCAGAGUCUAAUACGGUGUACCAAACGAGCCCUAGAAACACAAAAUAGAGUAUGGGCCUAGUAGAGGCAAAGUUGGGCCUCAUCUAUUAGCACUGGGAAACCUGGUGGAUAAAUACCUUUCUCGAGCCAAGCACGAAACAGACAAUCUAGAGGAGCAUAUUAGAGAAGGAUCGCUGGACCUUGCAAGGAUGUCAAAUUCAGAGUUUCUAUCGAGGAUAGAGACUAGUCAAGCUCCAACGUUGUUUAAAUGACAUGAGAAGAAAUUGCAUGUUUGUCUUGUAUGAAUGAGUCAAUUGGAACCUCAUAUCAGAAACAGGAAGCCGAAGGAUAACAUCGGCUAACUCUUGGCUGCCAUUCACUUCCCAAUUGAGAUGGGGGAGAGAAUGUUGUUUCUUCAUUCCCAAUGGCCUAAUUUUCCACAUAUGUAGCAUAAGUCAAUAAGUCCCUCGUAAAAAUAUUCCACCCAGACGGAUUGGUAAAAAAAUAUUGGAAGCUAGAACUGCGUCGGAAAAGGCUUGAGGGAAUCAAUGACAACCUUCACUCUGAGAUAUCCCCUCAGGAUAGCCUUGCAAGUCAUGUGAUCUUCCACAUCAAUAACCUUCCUAAUCUUGUCCCAAUCAUCUUUGCAUUUGCCAAGUUCAUCUUUUCAAGAGUAAGAGUUGAAACUUGAACCCAAUAGGGUACCAAAUGGUCUUGGACUUCCUCAAUCGUGAGGUUUGAAGACCAGACCACCACAUUGAAGCAAUAGUUCAUGAUACUCUAAAGACCACCCUCAUUAGAUGUAGUGAUAGUGAAGAGAUUCUUCUUAUAGUGUGCUAUCAUAAGACUUCUAAAUUGAGCUUAUGUAGACGUAAAUACACCUUUAUACUCCCAAUAUUAGGAGUAACAUAUGCAAUAAUUGCUCCCACCAACACAACAUUUGAACAUGCCUUAUUAAGUCUCAAAGAGUCAUCAAGCUGAAAGGUAAGAGAAUCAGCAGAGCUCAUGGUGAAGACCACACAUGACUAGGAUAUCAAGGGAAAGAGAUAAGGUAACAAGACAAAGGGACCCGAGGGAUAGAGAAACGUAAAGGAGAAAAGGAGCUAAUAAGGACUAGCAGAAAAUGAGGGAAAUGUACCAAAAAGUUAGAGCCAUAAAAAACUACCAUUUGGGUAUAGGAGAAAGAACCUACAAAAAGGGGAAAGCUACAAACGAAAGGACCAACCUCAACCAAUAGAAGUCAACUAGGUUACUCAUUGGAGGAGACACACGGUAUACGGAACCAUCCCCUUGAGAGGAAAGGCUCAAGUGUAUUAUGGUCAAUUGGUCUAAUCACAUUAGGCAAGUUGAGAAAGAGAAACCUUAAUGACACCCACGAGACACCCCUUAAUUCAAUUUCAAACACAAUUCAAACCUCCCACCCCCUUAAUUCAAUUAUAAAAGAUUUCAAAUAUGCCACCCUUAAUUCAAUUACAGUUCAAAUCUCCUCUAAAUAAACACUCACAUGUUUCCAAAAUAGUCCAUUUUCCAAUUCUCUCUACUGUAUAUUUUUCCAAAAUAAUCUUUUCUAUUUUUAGAUUAUUCCAAAUCUCUAUUAUGGAUAUAAGGAAGCUAUGUGUAUCUAGUGUCUAGAUCUAUGAGGCCGUUAUAUUUUACCAAAAAUGCCUUUGGUGAUGAGAUUGUUGGCUAGAACACCAUCCCCAUCUCCAUCGAUUCUUGUAAUUAUACCUAUGAAAUGAGGUUGAGCUCCACCACCCUACUCAUAACAUGCACCUGGGACACGUAAGUCUACUUGAUAUUUGUUUUUCUUUUUAAACACAAGUUACAAUUUGGGAUUGACAAGGGGAUGGUACAACUGCACUGGAGAAUAUAUAGGAAGAUGAACCAAGUAAGAAGAGGAGAAAGGUGCCAGAAGUAGAGGCUUAAUGUGACAAGCAAGGGAAACUACAUGCAUGCAUACUAACUCAAAAUGGAAUAGACUGGUAUAAGACUUAUCAUAUGAUUAUUUUAUUUCUAUAAUCAAACAUGAAUUCUACCUAAAAUGUAUAUUCUUGUGUAUCUUUGUAUGUAUAUGCACAUAUAGAGUUGUACGUAGCAAGAUUAUAACUUGUACCAGCUGUGGUUUAUACUAUUGAAAAAUUUAGGUAUUUAUUUACUUGCCAUAGGUCAAAGUUCACUAGAUGAGGUAUCUAUUUACUCACCAAUGUUGCUCUUGCUCUUUCUAUGCUUAUUUAUGCUUUCUUUAAAUGUGUUGUUUAUGUAUUUUAGCUUCAAUAAGUUUUCAUAUUCUUUCGAUAAGGAAUUUAUUGAACUUGUGUAUACAUAAUGAGAAGGGAGGGAUAUUGUGCAUGAUUGAUGGUCUUUUCACUUGCUUUAUGCUUAGUCAGUCUUCCCCAUAACUCUACAUAAUUAACUUGGAACAUGUUUUCUUGCUUAAUUGGACUCAUUUAUUUAAUUCAUAUGUCUACCAAGAUGAAUUUUCACGUGCCUGCAUUGCCUUGCACUGCAUUGCACUAAAGGUAGUUUCUCGAAGGUGGCUUGUUGAUCUUUUUUUUAUUGUUUAGGGAUCUUUCUUUGUUUAGUUUCCAUACCUUUGUAUGGUUAUCCUAAACCCACACCCAAAAUUACACACCCACAAUGCCAAAAUUGUUCCCACUACCCAACUAUUUCUUCUUCUCCACGCCAUGCAAAGCAGUCACACACUAACACACUCAAAAACCUUCCACAUUUAUCUUUGAAAAUCGAUGUCCAACCUAGACCAUUGAUCAUCAGACUAGACACCAGCAACUCAUUUGCACGCUCUUAUCAUAGAUAACAUCAAUUUGACUUCCUUUCUUACAAAAAAAAAAAAAGGGCACUACAUUGUGGAACCAUAAAUUCACUUCAUAGCCCAGAGCAUGCCAAUUGGGGCUACUAGGGAGCAGAAGGACCAAUCUGUCCUUACUAAAAUGAGAGGGAAUUAAAUUGGGCCGAAGCAAACCCAUUUAUUUAUAUCGUUUCACAAUUUGCAAUAUGUAAGGUUUCAUGAUUAGUAUUGGAUUGGAUUGGAUAAUUCACCAAAUUUAAGCUAUGUUGGAAGAGGAAAUGCAGGUAGAUGUUAAGGAAUUUUCAUUUUGAGGGGAUUAGAAGGGAUAACUUAUAAAGUGUUGUUAUCCUAUUAUUUGAGUGGAUUGCAUGGGAUAAGAUUCCUUCAUGGGUGAUCCUUCUUCUAUCUUCAACUUGGACAACAUUUCUUCAUGUCCUCACUCAACAUGUCUUAAAUAUAGUAAGUUAUCCAAUCCAAUCCUAGUCACCAAAUAUGGAUCAUGGCAUAACAACAGUAAUACAAUUCGAGAGUGUAGCGAUCCAAACUAAAUCGCACCUAUACUUAAAGUUAAUUGACGAACUGAGUAAACAAAUGGACCAUUUUGGUAUUUAUCACAAUUUAUAUCGUACAGAGCCAUGGUCUUGGGGUUUGUCAUUGUGCCCAAAUUGAAAAUUUUAGGUUCGGGUCGAGCUUUAAGGGUUUUUUUUCUUCAAGUCGGGAUGAGGUUUCUAAGGGCUUGGCCUGGGCCAGCCCAUCGAGUCGGGCUUGGACAUGCCUAAUGGGCGCCACCAUGGACCUAAACGGGUUGGGCUAUUUAAUUUUUUUUUCCUAAAUCUUUUAAAUCUUUUUUUUUAAACACCUUUUUUUUGUCAAAAUUGAUGGAUAAAGAGUCUUCUCUUAAACAACAGUAAAGAUUACUACAUAACUUUAAAAAAUAUAUAUAUACACCAAAUUCUUUUACUAAACCUAGACCAAGCAAUAGCCAAUAUAUUUUAAAAAUAUUAUACCUAAAAAUGAAUCUUAUGAAAAUGUGUUACUUCUAUCCCAAACUAGGAUUGACAUCAUGAAAAUUAAAGCAAUUUGUGCCAUUAGAAUUAAUAAAACCAAAAUAAGCUUUCAAAUUCUUUAUUGAACCAUUAAAGUUGAACUUGACAAAAAAGGGGCACUAAAAGAUAUAGUGUAUAUAUUGCUUAUUUGUUACAAAAUUAACUUAAUUUAUAACAUGCGUAAACAAAAUAAGAAAUUUAUUAGUUUAUUAUACAUAUUACAUUUUUUUUUAAGGACCUUUCCUAUUGAAAGGGGCGAUAGCAUAUUAAACUCACACACAUAACACGGAUGCUAGAACUCAAACCCAAGACCUUGCAUAUUACAUUAUUUUAAUUAAGUAUAAAAUGAGGUUUAGGAUUGCAUCAAUUAAAACUUUCAAAAAAAAGGGCAUAGGCAGGUGGGCCGAGAGUCUCAAAUUGUAAGCUCAAAUCCAACCCAAUUUUAAAAUGGGGUUGAGUCAGAUUUUGGCCUAUCGAGCUUCGGACUACUCACUUUGACCCGAGUGCACCGCGGACCAAAUGAUGAACCCUCCUUAAAAAUAAAAAAAUAAAAAAUUAAAGAAGAAGAAGAAAUCAUUUUUAGGAAGCGCACCAAACUAGGACCACCAUUGACAGACAGAGACUUUUUGCUUCUGCUCUUUUCUUUUUGUUUCCCCCAGUUGUCAUAAGACCAUUCAACAGACGAGUAACAGAGGUAGAAUUGGGGGAAUUAGGUUUUUUGCUUAAUGCAAUCAGUCUAAAUAUAAACCCUUGAGCAAUUUCACUGUUUGGUUCACUCGCUCGUAAUUCAAUGGUGGAUCACUCAGACGCUUCGCCUCUCAUCGCUCCGGCGCCGGUCGCCGAGCCCAGCGAGAUCGACCUGGAAGCGGGCCCUGGUGAACAAAUCCAAUGCCGAAUUUGCCUUGAAAGUGAUGGUAUGUCUUGUCCAAUUUACUUCUGUUUUAUUAGGUUUUGACAAUUCGCUCAAUUGGGUGUUUGGUGUCUGAUAAAAAGAUUAAGGAGGAGUGUCGAAUUUGUAAAUUUGAGUUCAUGUAUUUCUGUUGGCUUGGAUUUGGAAAAUUGUCAUUUCUCUUUUCAAGUCAACUAACCAAUUAGUCUUGCAAAUGGCAAUGUUACAGAACUCUUUUCAGAGUGAUGGUUCAUUUACAUAGUUAAAAUUUAUUGUUAAUUUUAGGGUAAAAGUGUAAAGCUGUACUUUUUUUGUUCCUUUUAAAUGCUAAGUGGUGAGUAAAGUAAUGUAGCUUAUCAGUGGGUUUUUUGCUUUCUAUUUCCACUCAGGUAGGGACUUCAUUGCUCCUUGCAAAUGCAAAGGGACUUCAAAGUAUGUUCACCGGGAAUGUUUGGAUCAUUGGAGAGCUGUAAAGGUUUGGUUGCCAUCUAUAUUUUGCUUCUUUUUCUUUUCCAAAAUUAGUAAUGUAACCCCAUAUUAUACUAUUAUAGUUUGGCAUGCAAGCUUAGUGAUCCCAUCCAUCUACUAUAUCGUUUCUGAUUGCUUCUUGCUUUUAUUACUAAACAAAGCCGUGGUGUAUGAGCAUGUUCUGGAAUUCACUAAAACCCACUUUUAGCUGUCAUCUAACUAUCCCUUUUGAUUCUGGGACACUGUCCUUGUCUUUGAACUUCUAGUAUUGGUGUAAUUUGAAUUUAUUGAGAGAGAGAGUGAUUCUGAGAUCCUGUGUUUGCUGUCAUCUAAGGGCUCGUUUGGGAGUGAUUUUGGAUACCAUAAUCACUUUUGGGAAGAAGCAUCUCCCACGUGCUUCUCCAUAAAAUCACUUAAAAUCACUUCAAGUUAUUAUAUGGAGAAGUGAUUCUCCAUAUAAGUGCUUUUUGGCCUAUCCAGAAUCACUCCCAAACGAGCCCUAACUAUCCCUUUGAUUCUAAGGUGCUGUCCUUAUGUUUGAACUUAUAGCAUGGGUGUAAUUUGAAUUUAUUGAGAGAGACACAGAGAAUCGUGUCUACGCAUUUGUUUCUUUUACAAAAAGAAAGAAAGAAAAAGAUUUACUUUAUAAAUUAUAAAAAAUCAGAAUGCACAUAGUUGCUAUUUGGAAUCUAGAAUGAUGUGUCAUUUAUGCACAUUAAAAUGUGCUUGUUGCAGUUAAAAUAUGAAAUGAAGUUUAUUGAAGUGAAGUUCCUUCAACACCAAUGUCUCUAGCAUAAUGAAAUGGAAUCGACAUAUUGAUAGGUUGCAAUGUCAUGAUUCGUUUAUCUCCUGUUGUGUUAAGAGGAUAUUUACAACAGUGUGUCUCGCAGGUGUAGGAACAGGUAGCAAAUUAGUUUUUCUUUCCUUGUUGCACGACUAAUUCACUAAGUUUUAGACUUUUAGUGUGUUGCAGUAAGAUCAUCUUUGGAGAACUCAGAAGUGGGCUUUUAAUGGUCUUUGAAUCAGGUGUAGGAUUUAGCUGAUUAAGACAAACUAACAGCAUAUAUACACAUGUUCAGGUUUUGCUGCUCGUUAGUGGUUUCCCAUCUGUAUCUGACUAUCUUGGUUUAAUUUUUUCAGGAAGGGUUUGCAUUUGCUCAUUGCACAACCUGCAAGGCUCCUUACCAUUUGAGAGUUCAUGUUAUUGCUGAUAGAAAAUGGCGAACCUUGAAAUUCCGAUUCUUUGUCACUAGAGACAUUAUUUUUAUAUUUCUGGCCGUUCAGCUUGUAGGUCAUUAGUAAUUUACUUUAGUUGCUUUCUUCACUUUGAUAGCUGGAAUUGGAUGUGCAUUUUGAAACAUUUCUAUUCAUUUAUGCAGGUGAUUGCUUCAUUGGCAUAUUUGGUGUAUCUAAUAGAUGGUUUCCAGCAAUUCUGGCUUCGUCUUGCAUGGGGCUUUGACAGUGAGCUUAGUUUCUACUAUAUAUCUGGUAAAAAUUCAAGUUCUUAUGUGAAUGCUUGUACUAGAAAAAUAAAUAGUAUUCAAUGUUGUUAUACGUGUAUGUGUCUUUUUGCCCGUGUUGGUUACCAUAUAUUUGUUGUGGUAUUAUAUGCAUGGCAUCUUAGCCCGAAUUCCCUCUGUUUGGUGACCGAUGUCUGCUCAGAACUUUAUCUCUGUGAUUGUGAUAAAGGUUUUUGAGAUUCUUAUGUUCGUCAGAUUGUCCAGCAAAAGAAAAACGAGGAAGAUCACACUUCUAAGAUACUGUUAGAUAUUUAGAUUUGAUUUGAUUGCAUUAAUACACUUAUUUUACACUUUUAAAACAUCUUUGGUUCAUUUUCAUGUCUUUAUUUAAUUUUAAAUUAAAAAUUAAAUUGAAAAUGACGUAGUCAAAAAUAAAAAACAUGAAGAUUUAGUAACAUUCUAUUGAAUCAGCAUGUGAAUGAGAAUAUGCAUCCAAACACAGUAAAAGAGAAAAGGGAAAGAAAAAAAAAACUCAGUAAGCAAGUAAGCAAGUUAGAAAAGAGAAAUAAUAAGAAGAAUAAAGAAUAUAUAUUGGUCUGUAUAUGCAUGUAUGUAUCCUUACAUCAUGUUUUCAGGAGGGUAAAAAUGUAUCAUUUUUUUUUUUUUUUCCAACUCUAUCCUUAAUUGCCAUGGCAGGGACCUCUGUAUUGCUACCACUUAAGUGGUCCUGGGUUCUAACAUACCUGUUAGCGAGGUCGUGGUUCAAUUUUUAUAAGAACUUUUGGACCUCAUGGCCCACUACGGUAUUGCUACCAAUAUUAGACCAGUGAGGGCCAUAGAAUCAGUGGGUCCUGUUUGGGUAUUUAAACACUGAUCAAGGCCUGGCCAUAUUAGAUAAGUUUGGAAAUAAGAUCACUACAUUUUAAGAUGUCUAAUUGAUCAGUAAAAUAGAGGUGGAAAAAUGGAGACUGGAUAUGACUUUUAAAAAUUGACCAGCUGGAUUCUUUGGAACUUAAUGUUUUUAUGUGUUGAAGGAUGCUGAUUGAAAGAAUUGCCAUUUAUGUGAGGAAGUGGUGAAUAUUUUUAGUUCCCAAGCGAACACAUGGGUUUGUUUCACUCGCUUUCAUGUUUUCAGAAUUCUGAUAAGGUGGUUUUGCCAAAGUCAUGAUCUUAUCAUGGUCGACUGUAUAAAUUUUGUGUUUGUCACCUUUCUGAAAUUAAAGAAUCAGUUUACGACGGUCAAAGUUUAGGAAAUAUAUAAUAAGGAUGUGGAAAUACAGUCUAGUACUACUUUCUGUAGCCAUGUUGAAACCAGAUAAUCCUUUACCCCCAAGAAUAAAACGGUCAAAAAUCAGAGAGGGAGGUGACCUGCAUGGUGUACCGAGUGGAGGAAGGAGCAAACUGAAGAGAAAGUAGAUUUAUUCAUUAGUGUGACUGGGUUACAGAUUUGUUAUUGAAGAUCAUGAUGAACACCAUGUUGUUAGAUAAUCACAUUGGCACUUUAUUAUUUUGCACAAAAUAACCACAUUUUGAAGAUAGUUACAAUUAUGUAUAAUUAGAUAAAUUUUUCUUUAAUGAUUUUUAUUUAUCUCUUACAACUUGUUGUAUGCGUUAUGUAUAUUAUUUCUACAUUUUACUCUGUUUCUCCAUUCCUUGUGGAAACUCGUCUUCGUGUAGUGGAAGUUUCUUUGGGUGGAGUGUCAUUGCUACCUUUGCGUACAAGUAGUACCUUGUUUUAAGUGGUUGCUGGUGGAGAUCUUUUUAUUUCUUAUGGUUGAAAAUCAAGAAAAUUUAUGUUUCCUUUGACAAUGAUGAAAUCUUGGCUGUAGCUGCUUGUUAUAAAUUUUUAGUUUUUUUGCUUGGGAAUUAGUUGAUUAAAACUUUGUAAUAUAAAUUUACUCUAAUGUUAGGGCACAUUCUUGCUCCUUUGUUCUCUGCAGUAACACCUCUUUGCUUUUUCAUUUUUGGUAAUUUACGUACUUCUAUUGUUGAAUACAGGAGCUCUGUUGUUUUUCGCUUUGCUUGGGUUGUCUGGGUGCUUCAUUACUUGUUAUGACCGAAGAGUGCGCAAUGAUUUGGCUCAGCCUUGUCGAGAAUUAUGCCUAUGUUGCUGUCAGCCUGGGUAUAAGUCUACAUUUGGAAAUCUUUGACCCAGUUGCUACACAUGAUUUGAUUCUUCUGACUGUUUACCUGAUCAUCAUUAUCAUCAUAUUAUCACCUCUAAAUGGAAUGGAUUAAUUAAUCCUGUAUAUUUACAAGGGAGUGUUUCUACGAUAUAGAUCUAUAGAUUGAUAGCACCAAAUUAAAACCAAAGGCACUCUUGGAAUAAAUUUUUUUCAACAACCUUUAUCUUUGAGAGGCCAAAACAAUUUUGAUAGGUUCUGAUUUGCACGAAUGUCCAUUUAGCACAGUGUUAUUUUGUGACAUUUUUUGUUAUUUAUUUUUGUCAAGCUUAUUAAAUUUUAUUUUGACAAUUUUCGAACCAUAGAACCCUGUUCAAUAAGUGGACCUCAUUAGCUGUCCGCUUUCAGGUUGGGCAGUAAGGGUCAGAGAAGGGCAAUCACGCAUUAUUAAAACCAGCCUUCUUAAGACCAAACGCAUAUCUGAUACCUUUUAUCAUUUAACAGCCUCAUUGGCAGAUCAGGAAAUGUGUUUUCCUGACAUAUCCUACGGUAUACUAAUAUGGUUAUUUUGCAUAUUUUUCAUCAAAAAUCAUGUUACUACCACUUUUUGUUGGCUUGCUAUUUACUGCAGAUAGGGUUCAUACAUAUUAUCAUAAACCAAACUUUCUACUUGUAAUCAUCAUGAUUCAAAUGUUGUAUUAGGUAUUUACUUUUUUAAUUAAUUACAUUUUCCAACUUUCUUCCUUUGUGCUCAAAAUCUUAUUGUGGAGGUGAGUUUGGUUCAUGCACAACAUGAUGCGUUAAAUAUUUAAUUACUACUCAAUACUAUAUUAUUAUUAAUAUGAACUCUCUGGAAGUUUGGAAAUGUGAAUUGACACCUGAUGACAUGAACUUAAGUCUUGUGUUUGUUUCUUUGUUUUGUUUUUUUGGUUAACUGCCUGAAGAGUUGGAUGUUGUAUUAUCUACCACAACCCAAAUACUUAAUAGUUUGUGCUACAUCUAUUCGCUCCAUUUAUCUGCUUAGCAGGAGAUAAUGUCCAUUCAUUGGUUCGUAUGACAAUUAGGGUGUAUUAAUUGAAAUCAAUGUUUACAAGGUCAUUCAUUUUUACACAAUUCCCGCAGUGUAUGCGCAGACUGUCAUUUACCAGGCACACUUUGUAUGUGGACUGACUGUACCACGUGCUGGGGUAGCUGUGCAAGUAUGGCAGGUGAAUGUGGUUGCUUGGGAGGUGCUGGUGAAGCAGGGCUGCCAAUACUAUUUAUAAUGGCUUUGAUUGUGCUGGGACUUUUUACAGUGAUUGGCAUAUUCUACAGUGUGCUGGUAGCUACAAUGGUUGGACAACGGAUUUGGCAGCGGCAUUACCAUAUACUUGCAAAAAGGAUGCUGACAAAAGUGAGUUAGGGACAUCUUCUAUCAUUUUUUUAUUAUUUUUAAUUAAAUAUUUUUUUGCCAUGCUUUAUAUUGUCUGCACACUGCAACACUAUAAAUUACCAUUUUAUCGAGCACUAAGUCAACAAGUGAAGCUCAACAACUGAACAAAGUUUUGUCCUAACUACUAGGGCCUAAAUUCUAGCCAAAUUCAGUAGAGGGGACACCUCUUGCAGACUAAGCAUACAUGAUCAAACAUGUGAUUGAUGAGAAAUAGUUUAGUUAAAGAUAUAUUCUCUAAGGCGAAGGAUGACUAAACUUUGAAUCUACCUGCUUUUAUGAGGCUGUCCUUUCUUUACCAACUGACAUGCAUUUUUUUUCUUUUUUGUUUUUUGAAAAAGAAACAAAAUUUUAUUGCUUUUAACAAUAAAAUACAGUGGUGGCCAAUAUGGCCACAAAAAGAAAACAUUUUGUCUUCUUGUUCCCUCCAUUGGAUUAAGAUGCGUUUCCAAGGUCCCUCCAUUGUAUGAUAAGAUGUUAAUCAUGUCUUCUUGUCCCAUUUACGGAACAAGAAACAUUUAACUUUGGGAUCUUAUGCCCUCUACUUAGCUUGAUCUGCGAGUUGUUUUCGACGAAUUAGUUGGUUUACUCAAGUCCGUACUGAAUGGCUAAACAGAUUUUUGCAUACACUAGAUCAACAAUUUAUCAUUUCUGGAUGUUUUAACGCUUCUGGAUCUUGUCAUUACUGCAUAUGUUACCAGAUAUUUAUUUGAAAAUUUAUUUACUCGUAGGAAUAUGUUGUCGAGGAUGUUGAUGGUGAGAUGACUGGAUCUGAUUGGUCUCCACCACCUCUCCCACCUGAGCAUAUUCAGCAGCUGAAAACGCUUGGCCUGCUAUAGAUUUGAAGGGGUAUUCUUAUUAUUCACCAAAAUAACAUGAUAUUGAGAUGGACUGCCUUUCUAUUUGGUGGGGUCAGUCUUUGCUAUGGGCUUCUGAGUCUCAUUCGCUUUAAUCUAAAAUGAGUAUAUGGUUUCUGGAAAUAUCCCAAAGUCAUUUCUUCCUGGUUGAGUUAUAUUUGUAAAAUUUUGUACGUGAAUUUGUGAAAAGUGUUGCCUCUCUCUCCCUCUCUAUCAGUGUAAGAAAUCAAGGAUAGGAUAUAUCAAAUAACUAACAUGUAUAUCAAUGAUGCUUUCAAUCCAUAAAUUGCUACUAAAGAACUUUUUGCAUUUCUUAGUUUGGGGAAUGACUGAAUUUUCCCCCGGUAGUAAACACAACACCGUUUCUGCUAUCUUUGUGUUUGGUUUUUUGUUUUUGUUUUUUUGGGUGGCAAGCAACAUCAAUAAGAAAUCUGAUGUGUAUAGCUAUUGUAUGACAGUAUGAUGAAGCAGUGCCCUCCGUAGAUAUAUUCAACCAAGUAUGAUUUCUCUAAUCAAACAAAUGAGGGGGCAGAGAUAAGGUUGAUCUUUAUAUGUGCUUCAAUAUAAUCUUUUUUAUUCGUUUAAUUAUUAUCAGGAUUUAGUCUAACAGAUGGUAUAUGGUGCAUAACGGUCGAGAGAAAAAAAGGAUUAAGUACAUUAAACACCCUAAACUUUGGGGUGAUUUUAAAUCGAUCUUCGAAACCCUACAAACCCUUACAAAAACUCACGAAAAACUUACACAAACCCCUUUGUCACUAACCGUGCAAUGUGAGACUUAAUUUGAGCACUACAUGAGCUAAUAUUUGAAUUCGAAUACACAAACCCCUUUGUCACUAACCGUGCAAUGUGAGACUUAAUUUGAGCACUACAUGAGCUAAUAUUUGAAUUCGAAGACCAAAAUACAAUUCCGAGCCCAUUGUUACAAUUAAGCCAUACAUUUAAGUACUAAAGACACAUCGCUAUAAUUAAGCCACACAUUUGAGUACUAAAGACACAUCGCCUAAAUAACUGAACAGCCUAACACAGAUAACUUACCGUAACCUCUAGGAAAAGACUGAAAACUAGAAAGCAGGCCGAAAGAAAAAUACAAAGCAGAUUGACCAAAGAGGGAAAUGGAAAAGAGAAGAAUCAAAGACCGACAAAGGAAGGUUUGAGGUGUGGUUUCCUUCUUUUUGGUGAAAGAGGUGUGGUUUCCUUAACCUAUGGUUUAGGCUUGUUUUAUCUUUCAAUGGUUGGGAUUAUUUUUCAAUCAACGCUUUUUAAAUCCACCGAAUAUUCGGUGCAAUGGAUUUAAUCUGUCUCAAAUGGUCAAUAAAUCCACUUUCAAAAUCAACUAGGUUUUUGUUGAGCGAUAUUUGUCUUCUUCAAAAACGACAUUGAUAAUAUAUAUAUAUAUAUAUAUAUAUAUAUAUAUAAUUGUAACGAAGUCGGUUGUAGAUGAUAUGAAUUAAAUUAAUAUAUGAGACAGGUGUUGGCACUCCAGAGGUGAGAGUUGAGGAUGCUUCCACUUUCAGCUUUGAUUUCAACAGGCGCUCUACCAUUAAACAAUCAAAACAAAGGUAUCUGUGGGAACCCAAUGGCAAAAAUAUUAUAUAAAAAGAGUCCACGGGAAACCAAACCAGGGAAGAACCAGUAAAGCCAUGUUCAAAACCACCAAAUCAACACCACCACCCCCAUUAUAAAAAUAAAAUAACAUAAAAUAAAAUAAAGGUGUCGGAAUAUCAGCCCACUUACCUCUAAUCCUUAUCCACUCCUUCAUCUGUUUAACUGCCGCUUCUGCAUCUCAUCUCCCUAUAAAUAUUUGUCCCAACACAACCACCUUCUCCAUCAAAUUCAGUCUGUGCAAAACCAUUUUGAAAGCAAACCACUUUGAAAGCAAGUUACAGAAGAGAGAGAGAGAGAGAGAUGGCAGAUAUUGCAAUUUUGGUAGCUGAAGAGUAUGAGAGGAGGGUGAAGAAUGCAAGGAAGGCUGGAUCUGCUGAAGGAGAUCAUCAGCUGGAGACUGACUUGUUUUCCUGCGUUUCAGUUAUGGCUCACUCCCUCCACAAGAAGAUUGGACAAGAAAAGAUGGAGUUUGUCAAGUGGGUUAUGGAGCCCAAGAGCCAGAUUGGUCUUGAGGCCUCCAAUGGCUUCUUCUCUGCUUGAAUUUUCUUUGCCUUUUUUUUUUUUUGGGAUCUUUUUAUUUAUUUUCUUGCUGUACAUGUAACAUGUAACUUGAUAUCCAGCUUCUCCUUCGUUUUCAUUUGAUCUUUUUAUAAUUCAGAUAAUCUGUACAUAUUUAUCUUUUUAUUUAACAUGUUCUGAAUGAAUAUGAUUUUUUUAUUUAUCGCAUUUUCUUUUUUGACGAGGUGUCAUCACAUUCGAAAGGGUAAUCACCGUUUGAUCGCAUUCCGAUUUGGCUUGCAUAAAGUGCUUCCAACAUUGAAAUAGAUGCAAAUUUCUUUACAUGUGCCUGAGAUUUAAACUCCAAUAUUGCUAUUAAAUCAGAAAAAAAAAAAAGGAAAUGAAAAUUGUGAAUUUAUAGAGUGGAAUUUUGAAAUCAAUUACCUUGUGAUUGGGAUGGUUUGCCUCCUCUUUUGCUGCUGCCGACACUCGAAAAAGAUGUAACUUAAAUUGAAAUAUAAGGUAUAGAUGUGGUUUUUUAAAGUACAGAGAUGAAAUUGAAAAUACAAACAAACUACAUGAACUCAAAGUGUAAUUUAGUCAAAAGAUAAUUAUAAUAUUCAAAAUUCCCAAAGCAGAUGUAAUUUGGACUUUUAUUUUUUUAUUAAUUUAAAAAUGUUUCUUCAAUGUUACAUUGCUAGGCGUGAACAAAUACGUCAUACAUCAUGCGGAAAGUUUAUCGUGCUGCUAUUGGCAUUUUUGAAAGAAUUAACGGUUCAGAAAAUGCUUCUAAAGAUACUUCGACGUCAUAAAAGUUAACUCGUUCUUUUAAUUAAUAUUUUAGUUGUACAAAACAAAAGAUCUAAAGUAAGAAGUCUCUUUUACCUCUAUCCAUGUGACCAGAGGUUUGAAACUCCAGGUAUCCAAUGAAUAUUUAUGUAAACUCCUUCCCGAAUUACUUGAACUAAAAAAAGAAAAGAAGAAAUCUCGUUGCUUAGCAAACAUUACCAAAAAAAAAAUAACAAUCCUCCUUGUUCAAUCUCAUAUCUCUCAUCUUUUUUGUUCUUCAAGAAAUAGAACUAUGAUAUGUUUUUUGGUACAAUAAAAAGGACUACAUUAUGUUGACCUAUGAUCCUUUUCGGCCAACUAGGUCAAUUUUAUUCGAAUAGCAUAAUUGAUUGGGCUGAGCGAAAGUGGUAAGAAAGACAUUAUUCUUGGUGUGAGUGUGUGUGGCUUACCAGUACAAUGGUCAUGAGUGGCAUUGGGUAUGAGCGAUUGUGGCUGGGAUAGGAACAGAUUCUCAACCAUCAGGUUCUAAGCCUCAACCACAAGGUCUUUAGAAUGAGCAAGUGGUUGGAUAGUGUCACCGAGCUCAGUAGCUUGGUGGUGGCAUUGAGCUCGAUAGAUCAAUGGUUUAAGACAGCUUAAGAAAUGCAGAUAUCCUAAGAAAUUUGGAUGGAUUAGAUGGUGCUUAAGAAAUAGCUUAAGAACUGCGGGUAUCAUAAGAACUUCUUGUUGAUAUAUUGAAUGAACAAUCGAAAUAGGGAAUGCCCAAGAACAUAGAACAAUGGCUGAGUUCGUUUUAACGAGAGUUACACUAAAUCCUAAGGAAAAGCAUUAAAAAUUUUGAACUACAUGAUUAAAGGUUAAAGAGUGCAUCAAGCAGCCCUUGGGCUUGAUUUGUUUGAUUAGUGUUGAACCCUUGUCUCAUCGUUCUCCCUUCUAUUUAUAGAUUUUUAUUUCUUCGGCUGAGGAAGUUAUUCUGACCUCACUUCAACUCCCCUCCAAUAAGAUUUUGUAGCUUCUUUUCUACACUUUAUUUGUGACUGGUUAGAAUGGACGGUGGAAAAGUUAACCUUUGGCUUGAUUCUGACAUCUUUGGACGUGGAUCCCUGACCUUGGUUCGGCCUCCCGUUGUUGCUCUUUCGAUGAGGCAAGUACUUCUAUGGUCAAAAUUAUUUUGGUCUUUGCCAUUUGCUCUCUCGAGUGAGGCAAAUAAUUGGUAUGCAAGAGCAGACUAUCUCCUUUUGUGGUCGAGCUCAAUUCUUUCAAAAUGUAAGUACUAACUAAGCAAGCUUCCCUUUGUUUGCUCUCUUGGUGAGGCAAACCUUUUCUUGAUUUGAAGACCUCGACUUCAUUCCUCAUUUAGGCUACUCGUAUGGGCUCAAAAGUCUUUUCUUAGGCCCAAAGCAUGCUUCUUCCUUUCCUCUGAAGGCCUACUCCUUUUAAGCCCAUGAGCAAAAAAUUCUAGGUCUUAUGAUAUUAUUUCAUUAUUUUAUUAUUUCUUUUCAAUUAAUUUACCUAGAAAGUAAUAAACCAAUAAAAAUUAUGUAAUAAAAUAAUAUUUUAAGUUGACAUGUGGGGUGGAAUAUAAAACCCUAUUCUAUUCCAAAUUUCCACAUAAACCAUCAAAUUCAAAUUUAGUGUUUGAUAUUUGACAUCUUGAAAUACUUCAUAACAAACUUUAUUUAGUUUAUUUAAUUAAAUUGUGAAGGACUUUGUGAUGUUUGGAAGUUUGUGGCUCUUCGUUUCAUGCGACCUUUGGCUCUUAAUCUUUCAUCUAAUUAGUUUGAUGAGGCUGUAGGAGAGAGUUCAGAUCCUUUAGGCCCAAUUUCUCUGUACCCUAGCUAAUUUGUUGACACUUAGACACUAAUUUAACUCUAAUUGAACAAUGUUAAGUCAAAAAAAUAAAAAUAAAUAAAUAAAAAAGGCCCAACAACCUCGACGACAACCCAUCACCUCCUCCUAUUCGCUCAUCUUUGUCUUCAUCUACAUCAGAAAAUUGACCAAGCAUAUAAUCCUAGUCUUCUGCAAGACAUACUCCACCGCCUAGCCAUGGACGCUCUCCCGCAAGACACACUCCACCAGAUCAUCUUGAGCCUUCCCCUCCGUCAGGUCAUGAUCUGCUACUCACUCUCCAACUCUUCAACUAGCUCCUGUCCUCCAUUCCCUGCCUUCAUGUGUUCGACUCUGGCCAUAACUAAUCGCUCAGAUUCACCCUAGAUUUUCUCCCCUUCCACUCCCCUCACCCUGUGGCAUCCUCUCUCAGCUACGACCGCUAAGGGGAAUUGCCCAAGUCUACCAAGUCACUAGUCAUCCACAACCUGCUGACUCGCCAGUUCUAUGUCUUGCCCUAGCUCAGGUCGGCCUGGUCGCGCCACGACUCAGUCUUCGUUGAUUCCGAAACUCAAGUCAUGGUCCUCACCGAGCUCACCGCUCUCUAUUUCUCCGCUUCAAACCAGUGGCUCUAGUUCUCAUCCAACCUCCCAUCAAAACCCAUAACUUCAUAUAUAGCAAUUAGAAGAAAAUAUUGAUCCUAGUCUUCAUCAACUUCAGCAACUUCAAGGCUCUUUAUUCCUCCAAGUUGUCCAUUCCUCCAUGUGAAUUAGCUAAAGUUGAUAUGAAAGAAUUUUUUGCCUUUUUCUGUUGAUGUUGUCGUUGCCGUUGAUGUUGCCUUUGCCUUGUCUUUGCUUGCUUUGAUUUCCGUUGUUGUCACUGCUGCCGUUGACCUUGCCUUUAUUUGCCCUUGCUUUGCCUUUGACCUUGCCUUGUCUUUGCCUUGCCUUGCCUUUGCCAUACCAUGUCAAAUAAAGUAGGGCAACUAUUCAAUUAUACUCAUAUAUGCUCAUCUCUUUAUUUUUCUCCAAUAUGGAGGUAUUUAUAAAGAAGUAUAACCCUAAAUAAAAUAAGAAAUAAAUCCAAAUUACAAAAGAAAAUAAAUAUAAAUUACAAUAGAAAAUAAAUCUCAAUUAUACUAGGACUAGAAAAAUGGGUCAGUAACCAAAAUCCUAACAUAGUAAGGUGCCAAAAUCCUAACUAAGUAAGGACUCGCCAACACUCCCUCUCAAGUUAGGGCAAAGAUAUUUUGCAUACCCAACUUAACAAGCGAGUCAUAGAACACCAUACUUGGCAUUGGCCAAUUGAACAACUGUAGAUAAGGCCUUCUCAUAAACCACAAGUGAAACAACUGACAAACCCUAACAAAUAGGGCACAUAUAAGACACAUAAAAGCAGAACACAGAAACCCUGUGAGCACGGCAGUAGGUAAGACAGAAUACAGAAACCCUAUGAGCACGACAGUAGGUAAGUAUGAAACAUAUUCAACAAACUAGGUUUCAUAGUGCGCAUCAUCCAACUUUUCACGGUAACAUCAUCAAUUUUCCACUUUCCAAAUUGGGGGGUCUUUGGAAUGUGGGGCAUCAGAGUCACGAGUUAGGUAACCCAAUUUUCCUUGUGAAGUAGCAUAGAGUUUGAUCAUUGAAGCCCAAAUUGCAUAGUUGGAUCCAUUCAAUUUGAAUUCCAAGAGUAGGUUGGUGGACGAAUCAGUAUGAACCAUCACAAUAGGGGUAGGAGAAGCAGCAGGUGAAGUAAAACCAGAAGCAUGUGAAGAAAUAAAGGCAUCAACAUUCGACAUAGUGAUGGAUGGCAGGGUGGCGGUAGUGGCGACAAUAGCAGCCCAAGUGAAGGACAAUUCCUCCAUAUCUACUACACCUAAUUCACGCAGACACAACUUCUCUUCACUCCCCUAAAGAGAAGGGUCGUCAAAGUUAAGAAAUAUGCAAUAUCUUCAUGGGAAAGAAAAACAUAUAUUUUUCACCCCCUUGAAGACGAGGGGAGGAGAGCAAUUAUUGCAAGGAGAAUUCAAGCACAGAUCACAAGAGAACCUGGCUCUGAUAGUCAAACAAAUAGGGCAAAUAUUCAAGUAUGGGGUUAUUCGCAGCAAUGGUCCCUCAACUAUACCCGUAGUUACAGUUUGGUCACUCAAUUCAAUUAUUAGUUUCAGAGGUCACUCAAGUAGGUGUUUUGUUGCACCAUUAGUUAUUCUGUCAAACUCUGUUAAAUUUUCUGUCAAAAGUAAGGGUAAAUUUAGAAAUUCAUCUACAACCCUUCCUCUCCUCCACAACCCUCCCCUUUCUCCACAACCCUCCACUUUCUCCAUUGCCACAACCCACGCCUUCCUCCUCCACCUCCUCCAAUUCUUGCACCAUUGCACCAUUUGACUGCUGAAAUUUUUGAAAGGGCAAAAAAAUUGAGGCUCAUCAAUUAAGAAAGAAACUGAAUGGUGUGUUGUCAUGCGCUGGCAAAUAAGAAGGGUAUUUGGCACAAAACCUCAACAGAGGAGUUAAUUACUGAAAUGACGAAAAAACCAGUAAAAACCUUUCAUCCAUGUCUAUCUACCAUUCAAAACACAUAAAGUGUUGAGACUUUGAGACUUUGCACACAAUUCCCAAACCCAUCUCCAUAUCCCUCACUAAUUCUAACAGUUGUAAUAUAGGAAGGAAGAGCCGAGCACUCUCUCUCUCUCUCUCUCUACAUUUAUGUAUUUUAUGGUUAAUGGUUUACAGUGAGUGCUGGAUUAGGGUGGGAGGAAGGAUUGGUUGGCGAGUUUGGUAUAAGGUUGGAGAAGCAAUUGAGUUGUCUUUCUCUUUCCUUUUUUUUGCCCAGAUUUUGGUACAAGGGAGGAGAAGCAAGGAUUGGGUUGCAACAAUGGAGGGUUGUGGAUAAAAGAGAUGGUUGUUGAUGAAUUUUCAAAUUUACCCUAACUUUUAACAGAAAAUUUAACAGAAUUUGACGGAAUUGUUGGAAUUUUAAAAGGUUUUAAAAAUUUAACCAUUUUAUUUAUUUAAUUAUUUUGGCUGUUUUAUUUUAUUUAUUAUGGGGGUUAUAAAUAUUUAAUAUUCAUGUUUUAUUUCUGGUUGGUGAAUGCCUUAAUUUUUUGGUUGGUGAACUUUUAUGGUUGGUGAAGGUUAUAUGUUUUUGGAUGCCUAUAAAAGGCCACUCCUCCUUUACACAAAAACACACAAUAAGACACAAUAAGACACAAUACACUAUCAGAAUAUCACAUACACAUUCUAAUUUUAUCCUUUUCUAGUUUUACAUAUAUUCUCUACUUUAUUAUUAUUAUUUUGGGCAAUGGUUAUGUGACUUGGAUACCUAUAUCUGUCUGUGAACGUGCUCAUAGCAGAUCUUGAGUUUGUGUACAAGGGGUCGUAUCUUGGAGUCUUGUAGACCGUCAGUACCUGCACGUAGGGAGGCUACAAAGGCUUUAGGACAGCGUCUUUGACGUGCUUCACCGUACCAAACUCACCUUCUUACUUAUUAUUUAUUUUCCUUUUACUUACCUAUUAUUUUAUUUUCUUCAAUUUUAUUAUACCUUAAAAGCUUUCCAAUUUGUUUAUAUGUUAUUUAUAAUAUAAAUAUUUUGUAUUUGGCUUUACGGAAAGAGGAAAACUAUUAUUUUUUAUAACAAUGACUAAUGGUGCAACAAAACACCUAAUUGAGUGACCUACGGGUAUAGUUGUCGGACCAUUUUUACGAAUAACCCUUCAAUUAUGCUCAUAUAUACUCAUCUCCUUAUUCUUCUCCAAUAUGACGGUAUUUAUAAAGAAGUACAACCCUAAAUAAAAUAGAAAAUAAUCCAAAUUACAAUAGAAAAUAAAUAUGAAUUACAAUAUGAAAUAAAUCUCAAUUAUAAUAAGACUAAAUAAAUAGGUAAGUAACCAAAAUCCUAACAUAAUAAAGAACCAAAAUCCUAAUGAAGUAAGGACUCGCCAACAUAGAUAUGGUUGGCAAUGUAGAUGGGAGCCAAUUGGGUGGGUUGUGGUUGGAGUUGUAGUUGUUGGGCUCUUUGUUUCUUUUUCUAAUUAUUUCUGUUUUUUAUUUUAUUUUUUACUUAACAUUGUUAAAGUAGAGUUAAAUUAGUGUCUAGGUGUCAACAAAUUAGCUAGGGAAUAAAGAAACUCGGUAGGAGACUAUAAAUACUGCCUUUUCAACAUCUUCUUACACACAUGGUCUAUAUUACAACAUCAUAUUUUUCAGUCUUCUAAAUUUCUUGAGUUUAUUCUUGGGCUAAAUAAAUGAGUGCCCUUAAUUUUAGUGGAGCUUUAACCUUUUUGUUUUUUUUUUUAUCACAAGCAAAUUUCAUUACUUAGGAAAGAUUAUAAUACGGUGCACUUACGAAAAAGGUAAGACCCAAAAACAUAAAGGGGCAGUACCUCCAUCCACAUAAAGUGUGACUAACAAAAGCACACCACAAAAAGGCCAAAGGCCCAAACAAAUCCUUCAAAAGGGUAAACACCACAUUUAACACACUUAACUUUCCCUCACCCAAGUAAUGUGGGAUUGUGGCACCAUUCAUCUCCUUGGAGACCCGAUGUCCCUGUUAGAAAGAGCCAACUCUCUUAGUAUAUAUUGUCCAUUUUAGAUCCCGCCCACAUAGAUUUGUUCUAGGGCCUUCAAGCCCAAAAGCGUCGUACUAAGGGAGAUGAACUCUGAACAUAUAAUGCACUUUAUUUUCCCUCACUCAAGCAAUAUAAGGCUGUGGCACCACUCCUGGUCAUCACAGAGGUUAAGGGGAGAAGCUCCCACCAUAUAGAAGUACACUGCAGUAAAAAAUAAAAAUCUACCAGUAAAACCAAAAAUCCCUCACAACAUAGAAAUACAGAAGCACAAAUUCAGCUACUCGAGAUUGUCGUGAUUUUCGUCACUAUAUUCAGUAUAUUUGUACAGCUACAAUGAGGACAAAAAAACAGUGUGAUUGCUAGUGAAUGGACCUUAUUAUAUAUUAGGCCCAUUUCAUAAGGGGAUUAUUUAAAUAAAAUUAUUUGAGGGAUACCCUUUGGGGUUAAUAUGAAUACUUUUCAAUAAUUCGAAUGUUUAUUUUCCAAAUCUUCAUUCAUAGAUCAUUUUUGCAAAAAAUUAGACAAAUUGGUAACAAUUAAGACAUCUAAUUGUAAUUAACAAAAGAGACGAACAUGAUACUUCAAGAAAGCACUACAAUGACAACAAUUAAUUGAGUGGUCAAAUGAUUUCGGAUUCAAGUGAAUUUUUUUGCAUGGAUGGUAUUUGAAUAAAUACAUAAAAGAUAGACUGUCUGAAUCAUUGAAAUUCAUUGUGGAAUGGGCCCAUAAGGGUGUCCCUCAAAUACUUAUUUGAGGAAUCCCUAAACUGUUUAUAUAUAAAGAAAUUCUCCUAUGCAGGCAUGCAAACGUUAUUAUCAUUCACACAAUAAUAAUGUAUCGACAUCUGUAUGAGAGAAUAACUAUAUGUUUGCACUUUAUGCCAUUGUAAAUAGGGAGAAAAGCAGGGAGGUGUAAUAGAAAAUAUAUAGCGUCCACACAAUAAUAACGUCCUAAUGUCAACAUAGGAGAAUUUAUAUAUAUAUAUAUAUAUAUAUAUAUACACGACCAGUGGCGGACCCACAGAGGAACAAAGAGGUGCAGUUGCACUUCCCUUAUGCUGCCCACCAACUGCUCGAGCACAUGCCUGAACAAUAUUCUUCUUUCGUUGGUUGUGUUGCUGCACUACUGGGUUAAGUGUAGUGCCUUUGUUUUUUUUAAAAAAAAGUCUUGGCCAAAACGAUUUCGCUUUGGUCCAGGCGAGAAAAAAAAAAAAAAAAACUUGCAAACUGCCGACGCGGAAGGAAGCCUCCCAAUCCAAUUUGAAGAAGUCGUGCAAGGUGAUAUUACUGAUAUGCAGCAAAUCUCAAUUUUCUUUUAGUCAUGCAAGAUGUGAAUUUCAACGGAGAUGGAGUCCUUGCUUUUGCUUUAAAAUUUGAAUUUAAGCAAUUUUAGGUCUGGUUCCUUUCCUUUCUUUUUUUAAAUGAUAAGUUUUUAUUCACACAUUGGCCAAUAUCAAAACCAUUAUUGUUGUUUUCUUUUUGUAGAGAACUCUAAGUCUUUUAUAAAAACUGAUUCAUCGAUCAAGUCUUGUACCAAAGAAGAAAAUAUUGUAUCGAUCAAGCUUUCAAAGUGUGUUCGAAUGUAAUUCAUAGUUAAUCUAGAAAAAAGAAAAAAAAAAAUGAAACAUGCUGGGCUUUUUUUUCUUUUUCUUCAUCAACCAUGAUAGUUUCAUUUUCGGCAUAUAAAUGAAAUUAGCAUCCUUUAAAUUAUAAGGCUAUUUGGUUGUCAAUUUUUUUCAAAACUUUUAGCCUUUCAAAAUUGCACAUCUGUCGAAAAAUUCACGAGUCCGCCAGUGUACACGACAAUUAAUCCACCUACUAUGUUUGACUAGCUCACCAUUAUCUUUCGUGUUAAUAUAUCAUGAGUGUCCCAAUGGACAACGCACAAGAAGUUCAUUUGCUAAUAACUCAAGUGGAAAUGGCAGUAAUGGGUUUUACUAACUUUAUCAGGAAGGAUCGCUAAUUAAGCAGAUUGCACAAGACGAUUAUUUGUGAAUACAUUGUACAAUUAAUAAUUUCAAAUUUUAAUCUUGCUAAUAAAUUGCUGUUGAAAAAAGUGCAAAUAGUAGGUUAACAUUGUAUUAGGUGUAGAACUCCAUCAAAUAUACCAUCAAAUUUACCUACCAAUAUUUUAUUAUUUGAGGAACUAUCAUUGUAAACUUUAGUAAGUAUAUACUAAUUUCUGGUUUGGUCACUCCAAUUUAGUUCACCAAAUAUCCACUUUGUUUGACCCUCCGGGCAUGCCAAAACUUGCCAGUUAUCUCCAACCAAACCCAAGUCCCUAAGUUUUGGACAUCUAUUUUGAAUCCAAGCCAAAUACUUUAACAUUGCAAAGAUAUUACAACAAAACUUCAUGCAAGGUUCCAAAAUUAAAGUUAUAGUGCAAGCAGUGAAUAUGCAAGAAAAUAUCAAAUGAAAGCAAGAAGUUCUUGGCCCCAGCUUAACCCCACUUGAAAUGCGUAAACAAAUGCGUAGGGUCUAUAGAAACACAAGGAUUCAAGACAGUGUCACAAUCGAAAGAUCACUUUGGAUAAGAUAUUCAUCUCAGAAAAUCUUGUACUCAAACUGCUUUUGGAUAAUUCAAUGUGCUUUCCGUAUACAAUUUUAUUGCAAUAGAUAAAAGUAACUUGCACAUUUAGUGCUAUUGGAGAAAGCACCUCUCAUAAGAAAUGCUGUAAUGUAGACAUGUGCUUAAGCACUUUUGUUUUUUUGUUUUUGUUUUUUGUUUUUCUAGGGAAGAUCAUGGAAAUUCACUCAUUGAAAUAAAGGUUUACAUCUUUCUCAAGUGUUGGGAGCAGCCAACUAGGAGGCAAGCAGACCUAAUCACAUGAGACUAUUACGAAACUAGUAGCUUUGUGAAAUUUUUAUAUGUUUUUAACAACACUAUUACGAACACAAAAUGUACAAAAUGGUAACCAAAAAUUUACAAAAUAUGCUCCGUAAAAGGCUACAUAAAAAAAUUAUUGUAUUUUUUGUUGUUGUAAAGAAAUGAUUUUAUAUAUAGAACCAAAAACACCUUACAAAAAUCUGAAAAAAGCACAUCCCGAAUGAUAUUUAAGUCCCGAUACCAAACGGACUCAACAUACAAUGAUAAAACAAAACAAGCUAAUCUAUGGGCCGUGAAUGGAAGAUAAAAAACAGGAAGGGACAAUUCAUGCUUUAAUAUUUUAUGUACGUACAUAGCUAGGGAACAAAAAAGGAAAAAGAAAAAAAGAAAAGGCAUACUAAUUCUUACACGAGAAACUCUGAUUAGAAAAAUCUGUGUAAGCUGUUACCCUGUAACGAAGAUAACAAGAAAAUAAGCUCCUCAUCGCUGCCAUCAUAUUGUACCUGAUUUCUCAGCCGAUGAUAGCUAGCCACAACAUCGUCCGACAAGACCUUAGUCCGGCAAAGAGGACACGUGGCCCAAUACUGUUGGAGCCACCUGUCAAGGCAGUUCUGGUGGAAUGUGUGCUUACAUUUGAGCUGCCUAAUCUUGUCACCUUCCUCAAAGUCUGAUAAGCAAACUGAGCAUUCUGUUGCCUCUGGCCUCACGCUCCUCAAUUUUUGUGUGUAACACGUUGUUGGAUUUUUUUGCUCUAUGAGCUUGAGGUAUUGUGUGGUAGUGAUCACACGUUUGCUCGAAUUCGGAUUGAGACCGGCAAUCGAACGGACGAGAAUUACAAUUUCGAGGAUGAGGAGUGUGAAGAAGAUUAGGGUUAUGGUGUAGAGGUGGGAGAAGAAUUGAGAGAGAGCUCCCAUGGCUGCCGAAGACUAAAGAAAUGAAGAUAGAGGGUGAGGUCAAGUUAAUACAAUGAGACUUUUUGCCUUUUUGGAUAUAACAGCGAAUGUGGGCAAGUGCAGUGCCCUUGUGUUGUCCCAUCUUUAAAUAUCUUAUAGAAUUGUUAGGAUCUUCAUGUUUUGGAUUCGAGGGUUACGGGAUUUUGGUGCAACCAUAGUCAAAUUGUGACAUGUGGAUAGAAAAGAAAGAAUGUAACAUCACUAUAAAAGCGUUAAUUUUUGGCUUAAUUAUAACAAUGUUGUGAACUAAAGAGAAAUUGGAGAGGAAAUUGAGAUAGAGAAAGUAGAGAAACUGAUUUUCUUCAUUCUGAUUUUUCUGUGUUUCUUUCUAACAAUUAGUAGGCAAAGCCUUCCAACAUGUGGGCCCCUUUCCAACGUGUGGGCUCCACACCUAAUUAUUUACAACACUCCCCCUUGGAGACCACAAAUGGUAUGGAAUAUGUCUCGUUAAAAAAAAAAACUUGCCAGUAAAAACCCAGUGGGACAAAAACUGGUCAAAGGGAAAAAGAGUACAUAAUCAUGUGUAACAUAAAAUUCUGUGUAUAUUGACGCGCGUGCGACACUGCCUCGUUAAAACCUUGCCAGGAAAAACCCAGUGGGAUAAAAAUCUGGACGAAGGAAAAAGAGUACAGUGUUUGAAGAUCUUUAUUGAUAGCACGCUCCCCCUGAUGCUUGACAAAAUAUCUUUAAGUCAUACUGUUGAUCACCUUUCUGAAUAUCGUAUUUGACACUGCUUCUGUGAGUCAAUCUUGAGCGACACUGCCUCGUUAAAACCUUACCAGGAAAAACCCAGUGGGAUAAAAACCUGGAUGAAGGAAAAAGAGUACAGUGUGUGAAGGUCUUUAUUAAUACCACGCUCCCCCUGAUGAAUAUCUCCUCCUGAAAACUUCAUGACUAGCUUUUUCCAGUAAGCGACCAUAGAGAUUUCCAGAGUCCGCAUAUCUAAUAACACUUGGGCUAUUUGUAAGUUCACGCAAAAAUAUGCCCGUAUAUGGUAUUAUGCUGAAAUAGCAUCAAAUAUGCCUCACAUCAUCCCAAAAUGAUGGUGAUGGAGUUGAGCUCCAUCUGGAAAAUACAACGUACGGUCCAAUAUAUUUCCGGAAAAACAUUUAAGUGCCCAACGGAUAAUCCUAAAAAAAAAAAAAAAUACUUCAAUACUUUCUUAGUAUAAGCAAGAAUCUCAUUGGCAUAAUGCUCGAUCUUUAAGUCGAGACAAAUAUUUCUUGAACUCUUCAGAAGCUUUGCAAACACAAUAUAAUCAAUGUACUCACUAAGGCAAUUUAUACAUAUUAAUAUUGAGUACAGAUUUUGUGCUUCAAGCACAUGUCCUUUAGGGACUUGCUUUAUGCAAUUUCAAUCCUCUCAAAGGAUUUUGUUUAAAAGGGAUUAAACUUUAUGACACAUUAUAUAGCUUUUACCCAGCUAUUUAUACAUCUUUAGGGAAUCACUUCUGGCGAUAUGCUCCGUGCAUUUAAUAACCCUUAAAGAUAACAUGUUGGUCUCUGUAAAUGUGCAAUAAGGGGGCACAAUUGAAUCUGUAAAUAUGGAGAAAACCCAACAUUCCUUGUUUCUACCAGAAACAUUGUGUCAUACAAAGUAGAUAUAUUCCCUUUUAUUCUGAACACCCAAGUAUAAAUUUCAGUAUUAACAUCUUUUGGGGUUCGUACUGUGGGUUUGUUCUUUCACGUUCAUUCUCAUCUAUAAUGGAAUUGCCUCAUUCCAUUUUGGCCAAUGAUAUUGUCGACAUUUAAUAAUUGAACGUGUUUCCAAUCAACACAGCCCAUUGAUGAUUUGAGUAGCUACUCCAAAAUCAAAAUUUGUCAUUCAUCAAUUUAUGAUCCCACUAUUCUCAUUUGCAUGCGCAUACAUCAAUUAUAAGCAUUUCUUUGCUUUUGGGUACCCAAGCCACUGCAGGGGGCUUUUAUUAUGUGAGAAUGUGGAUUAUAACCUCCAAUGGAGCGUUAUUUUAUAGUAGAGCGUGGAUAAUCUCCAUUUAGGGAGUUGGAACAUUUAGAACCCAUAUAUCUGUCAUGCUGCAGGCAUGCCACAGAUUAAUACAUACAUGUCAAUUAAUUUAUGGGACUUUAACCCAUACAAUUUGCUACGCAUUAGGCGUGCACAAUAUCAAUAUUGACAUGUCAAAGGAUUGUCCUUUCGGGACUUCAAUCCACAUCAUUUGCUACGCAACAGGCGUGCAUCAUAUUGAUCACUGCUAUAUCCAUAUUCUGUUCUUAUGGGACUUUAAUCUGUGCAGUGUAUUAUCAAUGUAUCCAACUUGCAAUCUGUAAAAUUUGCGUUAAUAAUUCAUGGAUACAUACAAGCCAUUCUUUUGGAACGGACUUAUCUCCCCAUUUGGUUACCUUUCAAGAUAAAAUAUCAAAUAGGUAUAUAAGCAUAAAAUAACACAAGUAUUGCUUACAUCCUUAGGUGGGAGAAACUUUUCUCAAGUAUCAUUCAAGCUCAUAUCGGCCCAGUAAAUAUAAUGUAGCGCUUGAUGAUCUAGUUAUAUCCUGCAAGAGCAAAAAUCACAACUCUUUUGCCUCUGUCAAAACAAAUAACCUUCAUAGUUAGGAUUACUUCAUGGAUUCAUUCUUCAGAUGUUCAUUCUAAAGAAAUAAAAUCUCUUAUGAACAGAGAGUUAUAAAAAGAGAAAAAAUGCAAAAAUAAUGUGAUAUUGAUUGCAAGAGAAGGUAAGCAAUCAAGGAAGGAAGCUGGUGGGAGCAGACAAUAAGCUCUCAUAUCUCCUAGUCUAGAAGGACUUCCGGAGAUUAGAGUAUAAGAUCGCCUUCACAAUUUCCUGAUGUAGCGGAAACGUGAUCAGGGAUAGUCUUGCUUCCUGAAUGGAUGAUCAGAGAUAGUCUUGCUUCUCGGGCAUAUUGAGUGCUCACUGAUAAGAAAAAUAAGUAGAUAUCGCAUCACUAGGUAUGGAGUAAACUGGAUGUCUUCUGCAAAGAAAAUUUCGUUAGUAACACAUUUAUACACAAAUACAAUGAAUAGGUAGAACCGGUGAAUUUCAAAUUAACCAUAGGAAAAUUGCGAGAUUCUCGGGAUACUUUUGAAAAAGUAGCUCCGUGAAAUCCGUAAAGCAAGAUUAGCUUUGACGAAAAUAAUAAUUGAAAACGCCGAAAGUGCCGACAAACAUUAAUGGAGGCCACGUGAAGUUUUGGAAUCUGGGAAAGAAAAAGAGAAUAUGGGGAUCCGAAAAGAUAUUGGGAUCCUGAAAAACAGUAGCCAUAUUUCCUCCUAUAGAUAUUGCCUUUGCAAAACUUGAUUGGAGCAACUGCGUUUCAACUUAACUUCCUUCAUUUUCUGAAACUUUAGUUUUCUUAAGACUUUCUUCGAAACCUUCUUAAAAAUGGCUUCCUCUUCUUCCUGCCCAAAUUAUUUCAAUUUAAAUGAUACUCCCACAACAACCAGUGAUGCCAAAGUUUGGCGUCCAUCCUUUGUAUCCCAAAAUCGUCAUCUCACAGUUAAUGAUUCUGUGAUGAUGAAUGAUGCUACUGCUUCAUAGUAGCUAGGAAUUUCAUGACUCCAAUGGAUGAAAUGCUGUUAACAGGGAGGUCUGAGGAAGAGGCUAUUGAUGACUCAAUGGCUUUUAGCAUUCAGAGUGCUGCUUCUGUUUCUAACAUGGCUGAUCGUUUGCGUGCUAGAGCAAACGAGGUUGAGAGGCUAACAACUGAAAAUUCGUCUCUCCAAAGAAUGCUUCAUGAGUCUCAACAGGAGGUUGAGAAACUUAAAGGAGAGAAUAAUGCCUUGUUGAAACUGGUGAGUUCGUACUCUGUUGAUACACUGAGAAGGCUAGACAUGCUGCAGGUCUCCAAUGAAAGAAUUUUGGGAGACCACGAGAAGCUCAUGGCUAAGCUUAAGAGGCGCCGUCCUCUUCCUUCAGAGGCUUCCAGAACAUAAUGUAAUUUUAUAGAUUUUACAGGGCCUGCACCUUCAUUGCAGGUGGAAAAAAUCUAUCUGUUAUAUGCUCCUUUCCUAUUAUAAUAAUUGCGCACAUUCUUAAACUUACACCUGUGGUUUUUACGUCUUUUUAAAAUGACGGUUUGGAACCUUGUGCCUUAUAGGUUCAAAUAACCACAUUGUCUCUCCCAAAUUUCAUAUUUUAUCGCAUGGUAGCCUGGAACUUUUGGCCUGAGCUAAACACAAACUCAGAAUUUAUUUGCCCUUUUCAAAUGGACAUGAAAUAUGAAUUGAGUAAAAGCCACGAUAAUAUCGCAAUAUAGUAGUGAAGAGCAUUAACUACUAUAUACCCACAACUUCAAGUUCAGGAUCUCUCAUAUAUUUGGAUCCAUGGGCUUCUGGCCCAGAUAUAACAAAAUAUGUGGGGAGCCUCAAUUCAUUAUUUGAGGUUUAUAUUAAUAUUAUCCAUUUCGCGGUGUAUUCUUAACAACCGGAAUUCACAAAAUAUAUUUCUUACUUGAGGUGUCGAUUAUAACAAAAUCGAACUUUAUUAAAUUCAUCAUCUUCUUAUGCCAAAGAAAUAUGUGGCAUACCACAAUUUGCAAUAAUACCUCAAGGGUUGUCCAUUUAAUUGUUGGAACUUCAGGUUCUCAACACUGUUAGAUUUUGAACCUCAAGCCAAAAUCACAUAUUCUUAUGGUAUGGACAUUUUUACAAUUUUCUGUACAUAUUUCUGGACUUCAAGCCCUUAUAUAAUUGUCCAUAUCUUGAGGAACUUCUGGCAUCUCAUUUAAUUGCUCAUCCAUGAGUUUAAGGAACUGCAAGUUCCCUUUUGUAUAUAGUGACGGUUUACCCAAAAUGGUUAAUAUUUAUGCAUACGUCACUAUUCAUGUGAAUAGUACUAUUCAUCAAGUUAUGAAUACGUAUCUAUUCAUGUGUACAGUACAUCUGCCAGUACAGUUAUCAUCCAUGUGUACGGCACUAUGAACCAAUAUGGUACUGUUACAUCAUUAAGGAACUCUAGGUCCUUAUUUACAUGUCAGGGAUCAAGGACCCUUAAGUCCAAUCACAUGUUUACAAAUACAGUACCGGAGAGACUGCCAGCUAUCAUAUUAAUAUCAUCAUCAAGGAUCUUCAAGUCCUGAUGUAAUUGUAUGAUGAGGAUCAAGGAACUUCUGGUCCUGAUCUGCAUACUGUAAAAACUCAUCAUACAACACAAUUAAUCCAUAAAAUAAAUUGCUGGUAAAUAAAUUACUGGUAUGGACGAUAAACCCGCACCAUACUUUAAAUAAAUGUAAAUGUGCGGUAAAAUAAAUUCAUAAAUUAAAUUGCUUGCUGUAUGGACGUUAAUCCCGCACCAUACCUUAAAUAAAAUUAAAUGUGCGGUAAAUUAAAUUCGUAAAGUAAACGUGCUUGUAUGGGCACUAAUUCUGCUCCAUACUUUUAAAUAAAAGUAAAGGCAUGUGCGAUAAACUCGCGCCACCCUUUUAAAUAAAUACUGUCGUAUGGGUAAUAAUCCUACACCAUACAGUAAAUAAAAUAAAUGUGCGGUAAAUUAAAUUUCAUAAAGUAAACGUGCUUGUAUGGGCACUAAAUCUGCUCCAUACUUUUAAAUAAAAGUAAAGGCAUGGGCGAUAAACCCGCGCCACCCUUUUAAAUAAAUACUGUCGUAUGGGUAAUAAUCCUACACCAUACAGUAAAUAAAAUAAAUGUGCGGUAAAUUAAAUUUCAAAAAGUAAACGUGAAUCUGCACAAGUUCCUCCUGUACACCUUUAAUUAAUAUAAUUAUAUAAAAUUAAAAUAAUAGAGAAGAUAAAGGAGCAGAGAUCUUAUCGCUUAUUCUUUCGGUGGGUUUUGCUGUUCUCAUCAAAAGAUGUUUUAGCACUUUUCCUCCUGUUACAGUGAGAUGAAUUGAAACCAGGUCCAGAUUGGCAGAUUCCCUUCCAUGAUUUUGGAAUGGGUCCCAUUCCUUCAUCACUAAAGCUCUUUGAUUCUGGCCAGACACCACUGUCAAGAACCCCAACUAUGAUGUCCUUGCCAAAUCUGGCUUUGGAUAAGAAGUCUCCUCCCAUCUUGUUGCUUGUCCAAUGCCUCUUUUCCUCUUCCAUUAUGCACUACAAUCUUCAACAGUACCAAUGAAGACAUUUUUCAUCUUCUCUCUCCUUCUCCUUCCUCUCUUAGCCUCAUGUGCAGAACGAAAACAGGUCUACAUAGUGUACUUUGGUGAGCACAGUGGAGAAAAAGCUCUACAUGAAAUUGAGGACACACAUCACUCAUAUUUGCUCUCUGUGAAAGAAACAGAAGAAGAAGCCAGAGCUUCUCUGCUUUACAGCUACAAGCACAACAUCGUGCUGAUAACGUGUUGUGAACUAAAGAGAAAUUGGAGAGGAAAUUGAGAUAGAGAAAGUAGAGAAACUGAUUUUCUUCAUUCUGAUUUUUCUGUGUUUCUUUCUAACAAUUAGUAGGCAAAGCCUUCCAACAUGUGGGCCCCUUUUCCAACGUGUGGGCUCCACACCUAAUUAUUUACAACAAACAAUACCCUCUAAAAUGCAUGACAUGUAUUAUGCUUUUGCACAUGUGGCAUCACAUGUUGAUAAGUCCAUAAAUUUACACAUUUAUAUACCCUUUAUAUUUAGUUUUGGUAGGAAAAUUUGAUUUAAAAUAGACUUAUUACUUUAUUUUCUCAAUUUUUAAUCUUCCAGAGCAAGUAAUUUGUUUUCAACAGAAAUAAGUCUUUUUGGUGGAGUUUUAGUACAAGAACAGAUGAAAGCUAAGAUCUUGAGGAUGAUUGUGGAAUUUUUCUAGAAUUUUCGAAGCAGCCAAUAAGAGCAGUCUUUGAAGUUAAGUCAGCAUAAGGUGCAAUCCCAUCAAAACUGUACUGCUGUGGAAGAAUGACUAUUUGAAGACUUUCCUAAUUUUUACUCAAGGCGUACAAUAUAAGAAUGACUAUUGGAAGACUUUCCUAAUUUUUACUCAAGGCGUACGAUAUAUGGCUGGAAAGAUAAGACAAAGACCUACAAUUUGCAUAUUUUUCCCAAAUUUUCUUGGAGGAGGAACAACCCCAAACCUGCAUGUAAAGUAACUGAUGUGUUAUCCCAGUCUAAGUAGGGAGAUGAGUCAAUUACUUACCCAUUUUGGAUUUAUGUUUUAAUUAGGUUUUGCUUUAUUUUUUGGCUGCUGUAAAAGCCCAGCUAGGGUAGGAAUAGAUGUGUGGUGUUUUAUUUAAGCAUGAGAGCAUCAACAGUGGGAGGGCGUAUAAUGAGGUGUAUGUUAAAUAUACACCCUUUGUGAUCGGAAUCACCCGCAAUGGAGAGGUAUAAACGAGUGUAAAUUUGCAUCACCACCAUGAUAUGCAAAUUUAGAUGCACAUGUACAUUUUUUU
rnacentral:lncRNA from 1 species